rnacentral:lncRNA from 1 species
GGUGGGAAAAUCUUAGAUGGUCCUCUUAUGGUCAAAGAUCGUGGAUUAGUAUAAGAAGCGGAAAAAGAAGACUAUGAUUUUUAAAGUUGAUUUUGAGAAGACAUACGAUUAUGUGAAUUGGAAUUUUCUAUUUCAGAUCUUGAUGUACUUAGGAUUCAGUUCUAUGUGGAUCAUAUGGAUACAGAGUUGUCUCUAUUCUGCUAAGGCGUUUGUUCUUGAUAAUAGAAGUCUGUUUUUAGAGUUUCGUUGGUAAAGGGAUCUUUGUAAAGGGGAUCAACUUUCUCUGUUCCUGUUUAUUUAAGUGAUGGAUUCUCUCCAUGUGGCGAUGAAUGAUCCGAUGAAGGUUGGUCUUUUUUCUAGAGACAAAAUUGGAUCUAUUAAUAUUUCCCAUUUGUUUUAUGUAGAUGGUGCUCUUUUCUUGGGGGAGUGGGGGUGGGAGAAUAUUAUAUCUAUAAUUCGGAUUGUUUAUACUGUGUGUUUUUGGAUUGCAACUAAAUCUUCAUAAGUCCAAUUUGUAUGGUGUGGGGGUUGAGUUUCAAAAGGUUCAGUCUUUUGCGAAUAUCACAUGGUGUCGGCCGAGAAAACUUCCAUUUUUGUAUCUUGGUCUUCCGAUGAGAUUUAUUAUGUCGAGAAUGUAAUGGGUGACGACCGAUUGUGGAGAAAUUUCAUAAGAAACUUUCCAAAUGGAAGGCAACUAUGUUGUUGGUUGGUGGUAGAUCAUUGUUGAUUACAUUGGUCUUGGGGUCUUUGGGAAUUUAUUAUAUGUCCCUUUUUAUGAUGCCAGUUCAAGUGAAAAAACGUUUUGAAGCUCUUUGGUCUAAUUUCUUUUGGGAAUAUGAUAACACUAAGAAAAAACUUCAUUGGGUGAAUUGGAAUCUAACUAUGGCGUCAAAGGAGAAAGGUGGUCUUAGACUCAGAAGUUUGGAGCCUCUUAAUCACACGUUAAUUCAAAAGUGGAGAUAGAGGUUUUUGAAUGAUUCUAAGUCCUUGUGGGUUAAGGUGAUCUCUGAUUUAUAUGGGUAGCAAGGAAGUGAUAUUUUCAGUAACUAGAUUGAUGUUGGUACGAGGGUCUGGUGUCGUAUUAUUGGGUCGAUAAAUAUGAUGCACGAUCAUGGAAUUAUCUCUCUUUCGUGCCUCUGUAAAAUUGUUAGUAAUGGGAGAAAUACUGAUUUUGGGAUGACGUGUGGCUUGGUGACAUUCCUUUGAAGAACAUAUUUUAGCAACUUCACAAUUUGGAAGGUAACUAGGACUAUAGUGUUGCCGAUAGAUAGUCAGACAGUUAAGUGUGGUCGUGGAGUAAGGCCAUAAGUGGGGCUAGGCUGCAAGGGCAAUUUGAGGACCUUUUACACCUUCUCGAGCCGGUUCAACUCUCUGCCAAGAAUGAUCAUAUCCUGGUAUAUGAAAAACAUUAUAUAAUAGUUGUUGUUACAAUGUUCCAAUAUCCAUAUACUAAAUCCAAAUCAAAAUUCCAUUUCUAGAAUAAUAAAGUCUUAUAGCUCAAGUGACCAUUCCUACUUAGCUCAGAAGAAGGACUUUAUUGAUGGGUUUGACUAAACUUAAUUUGUGUGAAUUAUGCGAAUACUAUCAUCUCAAUAUUUGACUUUACUCUAGGUAUAAUUAAAUAUCUUAGAGUAUAUGAUUGGUGUUCUUUCGUGACAUAGAAUCUCUUAGCUCGAUUAAGUAUACUCUCGAAGUUACAAAGAUUUCUAUACGAUCCUUGAAUGACAUAGAUCAACAUAGCUUUUCAAUGAACUCAUUCAUCCAAUCAUAUUAGAUUUAAACUUCUAAAGUAGUGUAUUCUUAUUUUGUAGUAUACUGCAUCAUUUUUUUUGCUUGGACCUCAUCCCAACUAAACUUACUCUUUAUCCCACAAUGAAUUCGUAAUCCAAUUAUAAUUCAUAAUUAUCUCUAUUUUCUUAGGAUUCAUAAUUUUUUGUAGCUCUUUACAUGAAGAUUUUAUUCUAAACUAAUUGUCUCAUAUACAUUCUCUUAUUUCUUCUAAAGUACUUAGAAUGUUCCUAUAGUCAUCCAUUGACUAAACCAUGUAUUCAGUUGGUGUAUUAUGAUAUGCUCAUAACAUAAUCAUAUACUAAGCAUUAUGCAUAAUAUGACAUAAAUGAUGGAUUCAGUUUCCAAGCAAAUCGAAUAUAAAUCAUUUCAGCUAGUUCAAACUUAUGAGAUAGGUCCUUUUGAUGCUGACUCAAACUUAGUACCAUAUGACAAUGCUAAGGUUUCUCCAAAGGAAUCUUCUAUCUUGAUCCCUUUCAAGAUAUUGUCAAUAUAUGCGUAAGUAUAUAAAACUUUUAAAAUUUAUUUUAUCUAUCUCUAUAGAUUUUACAUUCCAAGAAUGUAUCUUGUUCUUCCUAAGUCUUUCAUUUUAGAAACACAUUCCAAGUCAAGGUGAAAACCCUUGGCAUGGUCAUAAUGUAAUUUCUCAUGGUUAAGUAUGUCUCAUUGAUACAAGAUUAGGAAUAUCACUAUGCUCCCACUAGUUCUUAGUAAAUACACAUGUUCUAUUCAUUUUGAUAUAAAAGCAUACCUUAUGGUUUCAUAUUAAAAUGAUGAUUACAACAUUGAGAUGUUUGCUUUAUAUCCACAAGUGGAUCUCAAGCUUUACAUAUUUUGUUAGGAUAACAUGUAUUAAGAAAACCUCCAUGCUAAUCUAUAUAGAUAUCUUCUAGUAGAUGUCUAUUAAUAAAAGCGAUAUUUCUUGAAAUUGAUUUGCUAUAUUUCAUAUUGAGAAUAUGAAUUUAUAGUAAACAAUAUCCUUAUUGAUAUAAUCAUGGCUACUUGUGAAAAAGGUUUUAUCAUAGUAAAUGUCAUGAGUAUGAUAAGGACCAUAGUCAAUAACAUGAGUAUGAGAAAAUCCUUUAUAACAAGUCUUGCUUUAAAUGUGUAUAGUUAUCCAUGUAAUGUAUUCUUUCUAGAAGAAUCACUUACUCCUUCUAGCAUUGCUAUAAAGAGAAAGUUCAAUCAAGACCACACUUGAUUAUCAUACAUGGAUUACAUCUCAUGUUCGUGACUCUAAGUCAUUAAUCAAAUACGAGAUCUGACAUAACAUCUUGGUAUUUGAUGGAUUUGCUAGAAACCAUCAAUAAAAAAAAUCAAUGAGAGAUUCCAAAUUUCUCAAGUCAUAGAUGAUUUCUAUCACUAAUAUGAACAAUUUGUGUUUGUGAAUAAAUAUUAUUCAAGUUUAAAAAUCCUUGUUAAAUCUAGUGCCAACUGUAACUACAUCAGGUUAUGGUCCUUGAGCUACUUCAAGUUCCAUGUACCUCCCACUUGCUUUGUCAUUAGAAGCUUGCAUUCUGUUAACUCAACUAUUAGAGGAACAAGAAAACUUAUUCUUGGUGGGUUUGAAUAUAAUAAUCUAAGCCACAUUUAGAGUAUUAUACAAAUAUAUAUGUAGUAGAUUUUGGGUUCAAAAGCUUUUAGUACAUUAUAUGCUUAAAAUCCACAAAACAUUUAAUAAGAUAGGGAUGAAAUCUUUCCAUACAAGAUCUUAUGAAUAAAAUGUUAUAUCUACUAGUUAGUUGGUGUUUGUACUCGAGGUACAAUUGAUAGUGUUCUAGGUGUUGUCCUGUAACACCCAUAAAAAAUCAUGCCAAAUUAAAACUUUUUAAUUCAUUAAAAAACCAAUGAUUAUUACAAAUUUGUUUUCAAAAUGGUUUCAUGUCAGAGUAUCCCAGAAUCAAAUAAUAAAAACAUAAGGAGGUGCACGGUCAUGCCUUCGCCUUCUCGCGAUCAUCAAAAGUACCUGAAACAUAAUCAAUAACUGUAAGCCCGAAGCAUAGUAAGUUCCCCCAGAAUACCAAAGCCACACAAACCAUAUAAAUAUCACAUAAACAUACAACAUGCAUAAUGAGCCAUCAGCCUGACUGGACCGCCUUGCAGGUCCAUCAGUCUAUCUGGACCGCUCUCCGAGCGAUCGACACGUCUGGACCUCCUUUUAGGGCCUUCAGCCUAUCUAGACCACUCGCCGCCCUUCGACCUGACUAGUAUGCCUUAUCGGGCCUACAGUCUAUCCGGUCCACCCUGGGUAUGUUGUCCUUCAGCACAAGUAGGUCCGCAUCAACCCAACCCCCAAAUCAAACAAUCAUGUGCACAUAAAUAUCAUACGCUAGCAUAUCUAACAGUCAAAACGAUCUAACAUACCACUAAUCAUAACAUCAUCCUAUAUACCAGGAUACUGACCUAACAGGUCACUAACAUAGCAUCAUCCUAUUUACCAGGAUACCGACCUAACAUGUCACUAGAAUGGCAUCAUCCUAUUUUUGGAUUAGUGUCUAAGUCCAUAACUAUUUUGGUAUGUACUUGACCCGAUGGUGCAUGGUCCUUUUGGGUUGCCUUCACCAAAGCAACUUGAUGGGAUGAAUUAUGGAGAGAGAGGAUUAAUUAUGAUUUAUUAAUAUAUUAUGAGAAUAAUAUAUUAAAGGAGAAAUCAUAUUGUUUAAUUAAUAUUAGUCAAGAAUUAAUAAAGAAUUAAGCUUGUGGCUAAAAGACAUUAAUUGAACCUAAGGGACUAGAACUGUCAAUUGUGUGAUAGUUGAAUAUUGAGCUAAUGGACUCCAUAUUAGAGGGGUGGAUGAAUUCUAUGGGUAAACCCAUUAGAAAUCGUCCUAGGCCUUUAAGGAAGGAGUCCAUGGGUUGCUUAGGGCCUAAGCAUCCAAAUUAGGGUUUCCUUGUUAGAUAACCCUAAUAGCCUCACUAUUUAAAGAACCCUUGCGACUCAAAAACGUGGUGGAUUUGUUCCAUAGGGUUUCCACACGUUUUGGGUAGCCUCCACUCUCCUUAUUCUUCAUCCUCUUGCUCUUGGUGUUUGUGAACCAUUAGAUGAGUGACAUUUGUGACUCUAAGCUUUCUAAAGUCAUUACAAGGAGGAUUUGAGAUUGUUAUUGCUACAUAACAAUCAAGGUAAGAUCUAAACCCCAUUCUUAUGUUAAUAUGAUUAAUUGUAUGCUAGAACUAGGGUUUAAAGUCUUGGAUGAAUUGCAUGUACAAUAGAGAAACCUAGAUCCAAGCAUUAGGGUUUGCAUGAGCACAUAGGAUGUUCUUAUGGCCAAAACCCAUCAGUGGUAUCAGAGCCUUGAUUGGUUUCUAUUGUAUUGAUGCCUUUGUUAUUUGUUCAAGCUUCAAAAAUCGAUUUUUUGGUCCCCUUUCUGAUGAACUCGGCGAGUUCCAAUGUGGACUCGGCAAGUAGCUCCAACUCGGCGAGUCCAUAGAGGAACUCGGCGAGUUUGGGCGUCAGAAAGAGGGAAUUUCGGGAUUUCUUGCUGUUUUGCUUGAGGAUACUUGCCUUAAUUGUUUUGGGUCUUUAAUAUUCGAAUUUUACGUUAUAUUUGAAUAUAUCCUUGAUUAAACAAAAGAUAUUUACCUAUCGAUUAGAUAAUAACUUCCUUAUAUGAUUAAAGAUUGAUUAUUUGUAUUAAUUGGGUAACUUAUCUUGCAAGAAAUUGAAAUUAUAUCAAAUAUAGAUAAUGACAAAAGUAAUUGUUUAAUUUCUAUUAUUUGUUGUUUGAUCCUUGUGUUGUGAAAAAGUUACAAUUGUGCCCAUGUGUGUUUUAUGGUUUAAAUUUGAACUUAAAGGUUUUGUUUUGAAAUUUAAAUAGUUGAAACCCUAAUGUUUUGAAAUGUUUUAAAACUUGCCCUCAAGUUUUGGAAUUUAAAUUUUGAUUAAAAGUUUAAUUUAGAAAUGUUAAAUUCUAAAACCCUAGUAUUGUUUUGAAAAGUUCAAAUCACACCCUUAUGGUUUUAUUAAUUAAUUAAAGUGUAUAAUUAAAAGAGAUUUAAUAAAUCCAUAAAGUUUUGGUUUACAAUUUAAUUAAAUUAAAAGUAUAAUUAUUAAAUUUGACCACAUAGUAUUUUAAAAGUGUAAAAUACACCCUAUACUAUAUAUAACAUUAAAAGUCUAAUAUUAUAUAUAUGUAUGAGUAAACAUUCAGUCUUACCGUUAGUAGGCCUCAUUCACGAAGCUGGUCUAUAAGGGGUGUUUAAGGAAAUUGCCUAUAAAAUGGCGAUUGAAUGGGUAUCCACUCUUACCCACCGCACUCUUGACUAGUGGAGGGUCGUUAGCCGAACGGGUAGGAUAGGACAGAAACCUUCCAUUAUAAGUAUAAUGAAGUACAAAAGUAACUAAAUGUUUUACAAAUUCCCAAUCUUAGUUACUUUAGGCAAAAGUGAAUUGAUGCAAUUCCAUGAAAUUACACUUUGUACGCUUGCAAAGACGUUAGUGGUUAACCGGCACACUAAAUGGUUAUGAGCAAAGGUAGAAAAGGGUGACUCAAUGUUUGUCAUAGUUCGGUGGAGCGUGUGUGGUUAACCGGCACAUCGAAUAGGUGACUGUGACAUGUGGGGGAACCAUGUAAGCUUGCAUGGUUAUUCACACCUUGUUUUGUGAUCCUCGGCAUCCCAGUCACAAAUCGAGGGGCAUAUCGAGAUUUAAACAUGCCAUUGAAAAGUUUAAUGAAUCUCAAAUGAUCUAGGAGUUUUCAAAGCAUUUAAAACUUAAUCGGUUUUUCGUUUUUCAUGGUGGAAAAUUAGUGAAUCGUCAUUCACUUACCUUCAAAUAUUCUGCAACUAGAUUACGGCAUCCCUUUUCUAGGUUGUAGCGUAUUGUGUUGGGUCCUAGCCUUAAUAUCUCAUUUGGGUGAUUUAUUAAGGACUCAAUCAAUCAACUAACUUGAAUUUGUUUUCUCCCAUUUUGUAGAUGUCAAAGUAUGACAACUAUGGUAUUCCCAAAUCCCGUGGAACAAGCUUUCCACAUGAAGAUGAUAUUCCACGAUUCGAUCGAGGAACAAGAGAUCAUGCUUCACUUCCUCCACCUCCUCCAAUUAUUCUCCCUAACCCACAAGUUCGAAGGCUUGAAAAGUUCAAGCUCACUCAAGCCCUUUUGGCAAGUAAACAUGAAGAAGGAAAGUCGGUGUGUGCACACGUCCUAGAGAUGAAGUCACACAUUGAUAGGUUAAGAAUGUUGGGAUCCGUUGUCUGUGAGGAGCUGGCUGUUGAUUGGGUUCUUCAAUCACUUACUAAAUCGUAUAGUGAGUUCGUAAGAGAGUACUAUAUGAUGAACCAUGACGUGACCCUUAUAGAUCUCACCUACAUGCUUAUUGCUGCUGAAUCAGCAAUGAUUUGGCGCACUGGAAAAGCAAAGUUGAUUGGUGAAUCUGCCUUUUAGACCUCUAUGGAUAUAGGCAAUGGCAACGAAAGACAUGCCAUGAUCGAAGAGUUUAAUCAUAAGAGAAAGGCGAAGUCUGAAAUCGUUCCAUGUGCUAUUCCAAAAGAGUCAAUUUGCUUUCAUUGCCAUGAGAAGGGGCAUUGGAGACGAAGCUGCCCUAUUUACCUAAGAGAUCUAAGAGAUGGGAGAGUCAAAACGUAUGGCUCUGCUUUAGGUAAAAUCCAUUAACUAACUCUUUUAAGUUCCUAUUCUAGAUUCUUAAUACAUGAUGUGAUAAGAUUACAUUUCGAUGUCUUGUAGGAUCGAAGAAAAGAGAGGAAGCUUAAGGGAAGAAGUGAGCGGAAUUUAAUCGUGAAGAAAUGGAUUUCGAUCGCAUUACUUGAAGAUUAGAAUCUUGAGCUACUACUUAGAGUUAGAAUAAGAUUGCUAAGAAAUAUGUAUUAACAUAGUUUUUCAAUUGAAUUGCAUUGUAAGGACAAAUUUUUCCGCAAUAAAAUAAAUUUUGAUUUUAUAUUAUUUAUUUAUCCUUGCAAUGGCGUGUAUGAAAAAUUGAUGUUUGAAUGUUUCUAUUAUUAGCAAUAAUGGAUUUGAUUCUUAAUUAUUUUAUUUGCGGAAAUGUCGAGAAUUUACCAAAUAGGGAGAGUUUCUCCUCGCCCAAGGUUCAACUGGAUAGAAACUUGGAAUCAUACAAUGAGUAUUGCAUGAUGAAUGAAAAUUUUCAUUUUGGAAAUUAGACUAAUUCGUUGACAAAGUGUCAAGUGAAGGACUAGGACAUCAAGUACACAAGGUUGUGUGUUGAUCAAGUCCACCACAAGAGUGACAAAGAUAUUUGUCAUGAUUUACUAAAGGUUUAGUGAAUAUGAUUAUACUUAUAAGAUUAAGCAUAAUUUUGAAUUGAUUGAAAGAGUUUAAAUCAAUGGUAGAACGAAUAAGAAGAAUCAAGUAGGCAGAAAGAUAAAAGUUUCUCUAUUCUAAGAAGAAGGGAGAGUACCUUUUAUUAUGUUUUAUGAUAGGUCUUAAUGAUUAAGAACCAUAUCUCAAUUGAUCCUCUAAGUGAGUCUUAGUGCAAUUGUAUGUCUGAGAAGAGGAAUCAAGAAUUGAAGAAAUGGUUAAAUCAAGAAGUCAAUCAUACUUCAUUCCAAAACAAGUCUUAGAGUUAAGAUUGUGACAUUGAGUGACAAGUCUUAAGAAGGUUUAUAACAUUCAUCAAAUGUGGAAUUUGAAAAGGUUUUCUUAUUACUGCACAUUUGAAAUUGGAAAGUUGUGAUGUCUUGGAUAAGACAAAGACCAACUAGGACCAAUUUUGUGAAGUGUUUUGUCUUGAUAAAAGCUACACUAACUCUUGAAUAUUUGUUUGUCAAGAAAUGUUUAUUGACAAAAGAAUCUUAUAUGUCAAGGAGUCAGUGGGAGUCUCAAUGGUCUUGAAAGGUUUCAAGAACAAAUCAAGAAUAAACCUUAUCGAUCAUCACUAGCACAUGAGUUGAGGUUUACAACCUAUCGUGUUGACACUAUCUUGUUUCUGUGCCGUUCCAAUUGAGUUAAUUAUGCAUGUGAGUCCUAUGAGUUCUCAUUUGAAUGCAUAAAAGGCAAGGACCUUGAUCAAUGAAAAGUACAUUGAUAGGAAAGGGUGAGCUGCUUAACUACUUGGAAGACAUGGUGGGCAGUCGCGUUACCAUAAGGCAAGAAAUCAAUAUUGAGAAGGUUCAGUCCGUAUGAGUUUGGGUUUGUCGCAAACUUUGGUUUUGACAAAUUCGCAUGGAUAGGAACACAUACACCAUUAAAAUCUAAGUGUCAUAAGAUUCCCUCCUUCAUGAAAAUGACUGUGAGGAAAUGCUUUCGCUGAGAGAGAUUUUAAGAAGAUAUUGAUUGUGAAAUUGUAUUCUCGAAUUCGAUUAUGGUUACGGUAUCCCUUUCCAUGAUUCGAAUUGUGAGAUUUGGCAAUUAGUCUGAAUUGUUUAGACACACAUAUGAGCUAUCUAAGGCAAAGGUGUAUAAGUUUAAGAAGAUUAGAUAAAGGAUUAUCAUGUCAAAGCUAGUGGGAGCAUAAGAGUUUUGAUUAUGUUAUAAUAAUCAUCCUAGUGGGAGCAUAAAUGUUGUGCUCGUAUGAUUAUUAUGGUAAGUAUUGCAAAGUUAGCAAUAUUAGUUAUAGAAAACAAGAGUUACACUUUGCAAAGUUGUAAUGGUUGAAUAGUUGUUUUGCUAUAAUUAAGGGAGAGAAUAUUAUGCUUCAUUUCAAAUCUAAAGGCUUAGGUUGUGGAAUGUUAAUAAAUUUAGUCAAGGAUACAUAGUGCGUUCUCAAAUUUCGAUUAUGAUUAUGGCAUCCCUCUUCAUAGUUCGAAUUAUGAGAACGUGACACAUAAAAUAUUAUGGCAGAAGAUUGAUAAAGUAUCAGAUCUUUAUGUAAGACUUUAUGCAUCGUGUCCUAUACACUUUGGGUAAAGGAUCGAUUGCAAAUGCUACAAUAUUUGAAUAUUCUUAAAUUUUCCAAAUGUCUAGCGCAUUUAGAGGGAAAAAGGACAAGAAUUGGUUUUGACUAAGAUAAUUAAACAACUAUCAAAGGACGAUCCAAAGCUCGCUGAGGAUUGGUCGCUUGUGAGUAGUUGGAAGUAUGAUAUUGGAUGGACCAUAUCGACUUUAUUAUGAAUAGAUAAGAUUAUAUUAAGAAUGAGUUGUCAUAUGGUAAAUAUGGAAAUGAUUCCAUAUUGAGAGUUGGAUAUUGAGAGUUGGAUAUUGAGAGUCUAUGUCUAGAUUAGAAAUUGUAUGCAAAAGGAUGUUCAAAGGAAUGUACCUUGAGUGAGAGACAUCACGUCUAUGGAAUUGUAUUGUAACAAUCUCAAAUAGAGAACUUUGUAAUUUCAUUGGCAAUAGUCAUUGUGAUUUUUGUGCCAUGACAUUACAAAAGGAUCAUUGCAUAAAAUGUUAGAAUCUAGCAUAUUCUAUAAGUGGCAAGAAUUUGAUAUUCUUUCACUUGUGAAAAGGAUUGGGAGUUGUGAAAUGAGUAUGAUUGGAAAUGUGUUCAUUUGAUCUAUUUCACAAAGUAAGAACCAUAGGUAAGCAUUGUGUGCAUGCUAAGAGCAUGGGACAAGUGUAGUAAUAAUUCAAGUAAGAAGUUGAUUACCCGAAACAACAAAUAAUGAGUAAUCGAUAUGGUGAUAAAUAAAAGGUGUUUUAUUUAUACUCAAAGGUUUGAGGCCAUAUGGGAUUAGUAUUAUUCUUGUGUUUCACUUUGCAUGUUUUGACUUCCUGAAUAAUUUAAUUGGUUCAGAACAGUCAAAUUAUUCGAACGGGCCACAGUCGUUCAUAUGUUGGAAGUAGGUANNNNNNNNNNNNNNNNNNNNNNNNNNNNNNNNNNNNNNNNNNNNNNNNNNNNNNNNNNNNNNNNNNNNNNNNNNNNNNNNNNNNNNNNNNNNNNNNNNNNNNNNNNNNNNNNNNNNNNNNNNNNNNNNNNNNNNNNNNNNNNNNNNNNNNNNNNNNNNNNNNNNNNNNNNNNNNNNNNNNNNNNNNNNNNNNNNNNNNNNNNNNNNNNNNNNNNNNNNNNNNNNNNNNNNNNNNNNNNNNNNNNNNNNNNNNNNNNNNNNNNNNNNNNNNNNNNNNNNNNNNNNNNNNNNNNNNNNNNNNNNNNNNNNNNNNNNNNNNNNNNNNNNNNNNNNNNNNNNNNNNNNNNNNNNNNNNNNNNNNNNNNNNNNNNNNNNNNNNNNNNNNNNNNNNNNNNNNNNNNNNNNNNNNNNNNNNNNNNNNNNNNNNNNNNNNNNNNNNNNNNNNNNNNNNNNNNNNNNNNNNNNNNNNNNNNNNNNNNNNNNNNNNNNNNNNNNNNNNNNNNNNNNNNNNNNNNNNNNNNNNNNNNNNNNNNNNNNNNNNNNNNNNNNNNNNNNNNNNNNNNNNNNNNNNNNNNNNNNNNNNNNNNNNNNNNNNNNNNNNNNNNNNNNNNNNNNNNNNNNNNNNNNNNNNNNNNNNNNNNNNNNNNNNNNNNNNNNNNNNNNNNNNNNNNNNNNNNNNNNNNNNNNNNNNNNNNNNNNNNNNNNNNNNNNNNNNNNNNNNNNNNNNNNNNNNNNNNNNNNNNNNNNNNNNNNNNNNNNNNNNNNNNNNNNNNNNNNNNNNNNNNNNNNNNNNNNNNNNNNNNNNNNNNNNNNNNNNNNNNNNNNNNNNNNNNNNNNNNNNNNNNNNNNNNNNNNNNNNNNNNNNNNNNNNNNNNNNNNNNNNNNNNNNNNNNNNNNNNNNNNNNNCAAACACCAAAAGUAAUACAAAAAUAAGAGAUGGAUCUUGUAUGCUCCACCUUCUCCAAAAUGUUGCACCUGUACCUGUCUAUCUUUGACCUGAGGAUACAAGUUAUUUUGAAAACGAGUAUCAGCAUAAAGCUGGUGAGUUCAUAAGAGUUUAGUGUAAAUUUUAGUAUAAAAUGUAUUAGUGCAGAUAGUGUGAAAAGCUGCAGUUUACAUUCGUAAGUAGUAGAAAACUCUAGAAAAUCCUAUAUUUUCCAGAAAAUACCUUGUAAGUGAAAGCCUUUAAGUUGCAUGUACUUAUCUUCAUUUAAAACCAUUUGUUGUAAAGGUAUAUUAGUGAGUCUCCAAUAGGUAGUGUAAUAAGAAAAGUUAUGCCUGAUAUCGGUAAUAGUGGGGCAAACUCCCAUAAGAAAUAGAUACUUAUUUACUUCGGGAUUUUAACUUAUUCUUUAGUGUUAGUAUUUUAGUGUGAAUGUAGUGUAUUCCUUGUAUGCUACUGAUAGUGUGAGUAAUAGAGUACCCCAUGACCUUCCCGGUCAUGCACAGUGUAGUGAAGUAGCGGCAUCCCUGGGCCUGCACGGCUCGGACUGAAAUUAACAGUCGGGAUGUAAUAGUGUCUGCCCCGUAUAGAUCUAUACAUGUAGCGUCGUUCUCCUGUCGGAAAACUCUGGGCGUAGUGCGUAGCGAAUAGAGUAUCUCAUAGUGAGUUAAUGUGUUAUCUUCGGAUUAGUACUUUCUCUUGUAUUAUAGUGUAGUAGUCUUUUGUAUAGCUCGUAGUGUUUUCUCUUAUUAGUGUAUAGUCUCAUAAUAGUGUGUAUUAUAGUGUGUAGAGUAGUGGCAGUAACGAGUAGUAGUGGCCUUAACUAUACCCAUUAUAGUUAACUUAGUGUGUAUAAUUCUUGGCAAUUAAGUAGUGAAGGCAUCGAUUGAAUUGAAAAGGCUCGUAUCCAACACCAAUAUACAUGAUAUAUAAUUAAGAAAUCAACGACAGUCGGACGGAUAACAACUACCCUAAGCCCACAAUCAAACAAGAACAGGAAAUAAGGCGAGCUAUCGGUCCUAAGUCCUUCAAGUCUUACUUAUAUAAAUAUAUUAGUGUGGUUACAUUUUAUAAGAAAAUAUAUUUAAUAAAAUUCUUGUCAAAAGGGAACAUUUAGAAAAUAGUUUAUUUAUCCAAAAUAGUUUUGAAAACGCAAAGUUCUUUUAUAAGGCAUAGUGAUAAAUCACAUAUGGUUUGAGUUACAGAUAGUGAAUCACAUGUGAUUAAUUUUCAUAAAUAUGUAUAUUCGACUUGUACCCCCCCCCCCCCCAAAANNNNNNNNNNCCCCCCCUAAAACAUAUAAAAACAUUUGAAAGGUUCAUUAAAGGGGUAUGAACUCACAGUUUAUCGUAGGGUUCGAGUGUCAACGGAUGCCCUGAAUGCCAAUGGUCCCUAUAAAUCAUGUGAUGACACAUAAUUGGGUUAGAACUAGGGCGUUUCAUGCUUAAACAUGAUGGAAAAACAUUCUUAGGGCUUGACAUUACUGAAUACAAAUGUCUCAUGAUCCAUACUUAGUGAUUCAUGCAAGUAUAGGGCCAAAAGGGGGCAUUUGAGUGAGUGCAAGGCCUUGAAACUUAGUGUACGGCUGAGGUAUGCGGCCAGAAGGGUGUGUGAGGCUGCACACAAGUGUGUGUGCGGCCGUUCAGAGUGUAUGUGCGGCCGUACACAGGAGUGUGCGGCCGUACACUCCUCUUGUGAGUCCAAAUGACGUGUUUGCUCUUCACUCUAAGGAGAUUUGAAUGUGUGCUGCCCCCCUCAUGAAGGUGUGAGGUCGUACACCUUCAAGGGACCAUGAAUAUGAUGAACAUGAUGAGUUUUAAAGAUUGGGAUUCAAGUGUUUACCACUAAUAAGCUCGAAGAUGAACUAGAUCACAAAUAUGAGGCCUUCAAGGUGUUCUUGGUUGAAGAUUUUUGAGAGAGAAAGUAGAGAGAGAGUAAGGAGCAUCCAAAUGAAUAAAUGAAGUGGAUAUCCAUCUAUAUAUAUGUUUGGGUGUGCGGCCGCACACAUGGGUGUGUGGCCGUACACACAAAAGUGUGGCCGCACACACCUCCUUUGGUGUGUUUGAUCCGAUUCCAUGAUGUAAAACACUUUCCAACACUUCCUAAGACCCAUAGUUGGACUAUAUUAUGCCCAAAACACACCUUUGGAACCACAAGUUUUACAAAGGAUGAUGAAUUCAAGAUUUAAAGACAAUACGCGGACCAAUUACAUAGGAUGAAAGUUUCGGGCUGUCACAUUAUCCCCCCAUUAGAGGGAAUUUCGUCCCGAAAUUUAGAAUUCCUACAGAGGGUAGUUACAGAACUAUUAGGCAAAAAGAUGGGGAUAUUUGAGUUUCAUUUGAUCCUCGCGCUCCCAAGUGAAUUCCGGUUCCCGCUUGGCGUUCCACCUAACCUUCACAAUUGAGAUGCGGCGUUGUUUCGUUCGUUUCACUUCUCGAUCCAUAAUUUCCGCAGGCUCUUCUACAAAGUUGAGGUUUUCAUUGACCUCAAUCUCGUCGAGGGGAAUCACGAGAGUUUCGUCGGAUAGGCAUUUCUUCAAGUUCGAGACGUGGAAGGUAGGAUGUAUGUUACUUAGCUCGAGGGGUAAGUUAAGUUUGUAAGCUACAGGGCCGAUUCUAGCAAGAAUCUCAAAAGGCCCUAUGUACCUUGGGUUCAGCUUUCCACGCUUCCCGAAGCGUAUCGUGCUCUUCCAGGGCGAGACCUUCAAAAGGACUCAGUCUCCUACCUGAAACUCCAAGGGUUUCCUUCGUUUGUCCGCGUAGCUUUUCUGUCGAUCCUUAGCGGCUUUUAAUCGUUCACGAAUUUGUACAAUCUUCUCAGUUGUUUCUCGAAUGAUCUCCGGACCAGUGAGAGCGCUGUCAGGAACUCGUCCUUUAGCCAACUGAGUGUCACCCACCUCAGCCCAGCACAAAGGGGAUCUGCAUUUUCGGCCGUAGAGGGCUUCGAAUGGAGCUGCCUUGAUGCUCGUAUGAUAACUAUUGUUGUAGGAAAACUCCACAAGAGGCAAGUGUGUAUCCCAUGAUUUCCCGAAGUCGAUCACACAAGCUCGCAACAUAUCUUCUAAGGUUUGGAUCGUCCUCUCACUUUGUCCGUCGGUCUGCGGAUGGUAAGCUGUACUCAUGUCCAGCCUCGUCCCUAGAGCCUUUUGUAGUGAUUGCCAAAAUCUCAAGGUAAAUCUACUAUCUCUGUCUAAGAUAAUAGAUAUAGGGACGCCAUGCAGCCGUACUAUCUCCUUAAGAUAUGUUCUUGUGAGCUUCUCCAUCUUGUCCGUUUCUUUGAUGGAUAGGAAGUGUGCAGACUUGGUCAAUCUGUUAACGAUGACCCAAAUGGUAUCCAACCCACCCGUUGUCUUGGGCAGUUUGGUUAUAAAGUCCAUUGUAAUCCGCUCCCACUUCCAUUCAGGUAUCUCUGGUUGUUGGAGGAGUCCCGAUGGCUUUUGAUAUUCGACCUUGACCUUCGCGCACGUAAGGCACUUACUCACGAAGGUAGCGAUCUCUGCUUUCAUGUCAGGCCACCAGUAUAGCUUCCUGAGAUCCAGAUACAUCUUAUCCGAACCUGGGUGGAUGGAGUAUCGAGUGUUGUGAGCUUCCUUCAUGACUACCUCUCUGAAACCUCCAUGGCGCGGAGUCCAGAUUCGGUCCAUAAGAUAGUAAGCUCCGUCGCCUUUGAUCUCCAAACUUUUAUCCAUUCCGCGCAGGGAUUCUCCCGUCACAUUCUCAGGCUUUAAUGCUUCAAGCUGAGCCUCCUUGAUCUGUGCGGAUAGAUGCGAAUGGAUAGUCAUUGUUAAUGACUUGGUUCUUCGACCAGAAUACUCUUUCCUACUCAGGGCAUCUGCUACCACGUUGGCUUUCCCCGGGUGAUAUCGAAUUUCGCAGUCGUAAUCGUUGAGUAGCUCAACCCAUCGGCGCUAUCUCGUGUUGAGUUCUUUCNAUUUCUGGAUCAGUAUGUGUUGAAGGCUUUUAUGGUUAGUAUACACUACACUCUUCGUCCCAUACAAGUAGUGUCUCCAGAUUUUUAGUGCGAAGACGACCGCUCCUAGUUUGAGGUCGUGUGUAGUGUAGUUCACCUCAUGUGUCUUUAGUUGUCUUGAGGCAUAAGCGAUUACUUUACCUCGUUGCAUCAAGACACAGCCGAGUCCCUGAUUCGAUGCAUCGCAGUAUACCACGAAGUCUUCUGUUCCUUCGACAAGGGAUAAUACUGGUGCGGUGCAUAGGGAUCGCUUCAGGGUCUGGAAUGCCUUCUCCUAUUUCUCUUCCCAGUCGAAUGAUACGCCCUUAUGGGUCAACAUGGUGAGAGGCUUCUCAAUCCUAUAGAAGUUUUGGAUGAAUCUGCGGUAGUAGCCAGCGAGGCAUAGAAAUUGAUGAAUCUCUGUAGGCGUCUUUGGUGUUGACCAGUUCUCAAUAGCUUUAAUUUUGGAGGGAUCCACGUGGAUUCCUUCUUCAAUAACCACGUGUCCUAAGAAUUCGACUUUUCGGAUCCAAAACUCGCACUUAGAGAACUUUGCAUAUAACUUCUCUGAUCGUAGUGUUUCCAGGACUCGUCGUAGGUGAUCCUUAUGUUCUUCCUCGCUCCGAGAGUAGACGAGUAUAUCAUCAAUAAAGACGAUGACGAAUUGAUCUAGAUACGGACGACAUACCCUAUUCAUUAAGUCCAUGAACACUACGGGAGCGUUAGUCAAUCCAAAGGGCAUCACUACGAACUCGAAGUGCCCAUAACGGGUUCGAAAAGCUGUCUUCGGAAUAUCUUCCUCAAGCACCCGUAACUGGUGAUACCCGGACCGAAGAUCAAUCUUGAAGAAAUAACUCGCUCCUUGUAGUUGGUCGAAUAGGUCGUCGAUACGAGGGAGAGGGUAGCGAUUUUUGACAGUGAGUUUGUUGAGUUCCCUAUAGUCGAUGCACAUACGGAACGAUCCGUCUUUCUUCUUUACGAACAAGACCGGAGCUCCUCAGGGUGAGAAGCUUGGUCUUAUAAAGCCCUUGAUGAGCAGCUCGUUAAGUUGACCGGAUAAUUCUUGCAUCUCUGCAGGCGCUAAACGAUAGGGUGACUUAGCUACGGGGGUAGCUCCCGGGAUUAGGUCAAUUCUAAACUCAACCUGACGUUUGGGAGGUAGACCCGGAAGGUCCUCCGGAAAGACAUCGGGGAAAUUGCAUACAACGGGAAUGUCCUUCGGAUCUUUUGUUUUCUUGCUAAUGUCAACAACGUGGGCAAGAAAGGCGCGGUAUUCCUUACGCAAGUAUUUCUGAGCCUGAAUACUGGAGAUGAUACGUAGGUUCGUACCGGGUUUGUCUCCAUAGAUCAAUAGAGUUUCGUGGUUCGGAAGAUUCAGACGAAUGGCUUUGUCAGAGCAUAGGAUAUCGGUACGAUGGAGACUCAACCAGUCCAUACCGACAAUGACAUCGAAAUUCUUGAUAGAGACUGGUAUGAGAUCGAUUGGAAAUGAGUGAUCUUCUAACGUGAGGGUACAACCUAUGUAGAUUUCUUUAGAGUUUUCUGUUUUCCCAUUAGCCAUCUCUACGACGAAUGUUUCUUUUAGUGGUUGAGGGGAUUGUUUGAGUAAGUGUUUAAAGUUUUGGUUUAUGAAGCUUCUUUCUGCACCACUAUCGAAUAAGACAUAGGCAUAAGAGUUGUUGAGAAGAAACGUACCCGUGACUACUGUGGGAUCCGCUACCGCCUCGCUGUGACCAAUAGCGAGUAGCAUUCCAGUUCCCCCAGCAUUCGCAGCCUUCGGACAGUUCUUCUUGAAAUGACCAGCUUCACCGCAGCCAUAACACGUCGGGGUCACUCCCGAACCGGAAACUUGCGAGAUAGGUUUGGGAGGGGCCUUGCAGAAUCGCACAGUAUGGCCCUUUCGACCGCAGUUGGAACACUGCAAUUAACGGCAGGGGCCAUUGUGGUGGAAAGGGAACUUGGGACACUUGGGCAGAUUCCCACUAUAAGCCUUUGGCGGUGCAGGAGUGGCUGGAGUAGUGGCAGCAUGGACCGCCACGAUUUGUUGAUUCUUGGAGGAGGUUUGAGUUUUCUUGCCUUUCUUCUUAUCCCAUCGCUUCCUCUUUCUGUUAGAUGAAUCGGGUGGUGCAGUGGUAGUUGUGGUUGUUGUUGCUGGAGUGGAAGACACUUCAUGGUUGAUCAGACUCUGGGCCAAUUCCUUGGCACUGUCGAAGGUGGUAGGGCGUGAGGCUAGUACGUUUCCUUGAUACGGAGGCAUUAGACCCCAUAUGUAUCGUUCAAUCUUCUUGCUUUCAGAAGGGAUCAUGUGGGGACACAUAGCCGCCAAGUCGCAGAACCUGGCCGUGUACGCUAUUAUGCCAGUCCCUACCAUUUUGAGGUUCCAUAGUUCCUCCUCAAGUUUCUGAAUUUCGCCCCUCGGGCAGUAUUCCUUUCUCAUGAGAUCCUUUAGAGUGUCCCAGCCCAUGGCAUUGGCUGUGACCAAGGAGAGUGCACUGACAUGGCCGUUCCACCAUGUUAAAGCCCUGUUAGUGAGGGUGGCAGUAGCGAACUUGAUUUUGCUCUCUUCGAGGCAAGAGCACAUUUCGAAUACAGCCUCGGUUCUUUCGAACCAUUGGGAUAAUGCCAGAAUUCCUCCAGUACCAUCGAAGAAGGUAGGUUUACAAUUCAUGAAGUCCUUAUAAGUGCAUCCCUGCACUCUUUGAUGGACUUCCCCAAAUCUAGAGUUACCACCGCUCGCGUCCCCGGAGUUCAUUUGAGCCAUGGCUGCUGUCACAGCCGCAGUCACAGCUGUUUGGAACAACACUGGGUCAAACUGCAGAGGAGGAGGUGGUGGAUGAGAGGUUUGAGUUGCUGGUCUUCCUCUGCUUGGACGCUUUCGUGGAGGCAUCUUUUACUGGAAGAUCACAGGAAUGAUAGCAAUAAUAAGAGUCUAUUGCAAAAUAGGAAUAGGGUGUUUCAUGGAUUAAUUCAACAUAAUCCAAAAAUCAUAGUGAGAGUCAUAGUAAUAGGAUAGUUAACUGCCAAUAUACUGGUGUUGAUGAUGUAAUACAAGUUAAGGAAAAAUUGACUUAACAAAAGGUCUUACAUCAAACCAUAGGGAAAAUGUUGGUAGUUUAGAGGUCUCGUUAAGGUACUUUUAAGCUAGGAAUGUUUAUAGACGAGAGAUCUACGGAUCAUAGAGGGGAAAGGUUAGUCCUUUAUACAAAAGAGUGAGGUAACUAGAUGUCUUCUACUGGCGACGGUUACUUGUGGGGCAAACCCUCAGAUCCUCUAGUCGACGCAUAACUUCCUGAAGGUGUCGAUCAUGAAUCCUUUGACGUGCUCGGAGUUCCCUAACUUCGGCUCGGGAUGCAGCUAGCUGUUGCUGCAGAGCCUCGUUGGUCCUCCUUGUCCUGUCCAUGGCUUCUUCAAGUUGGCGGAUGCGAACAGUGUUGAGAUUUGAGUUGGCAUCCACUUCUACAACUCGACCAAUGGCUGCUUGACCCUGCUCGACAUUCCUGGCAAUCCUUCGGACCAUGAUUGGCAGAACUCGGUCCGCUGAUCCCCCUUCGCUUAUGUUGUAGUAGCUUCGGUCUCCAUUGUAAGGUAUAGGCUGGCCCUGUUCUUCGCUCCAACGGUGCAAGGAUAUGGCCCACAUAGGAGUGGGUCCCUGAAAUGUCGGACGAGGGUUGGGGUUCGGAGCUUCAGGAGGUAGGUUGUUAACCUCUGGUUCGGAGCUGGAGCUAUCCGAGAAGCCUUCAUCAUGAUGAUCAUCCAAAGGGAUCGGGUGAUCAUUAUGUGACUCCUCAUCGAGCCAUCCUCCAUUGCCCUGAUUUGGAUAGUAUGGAUCGCCGGGUAGGUGGAAGCCAGCCAUACUAUCUAUGCGAGAAAGGGGAAAAGAAGAUUAAUAGACGUACUAACCUAAAUUACUUAUAAGAUGAAUCGUUACUAGUCGACCCAAUACUUGCGUAGUGCAUAACAAUUACAUGCAACCGAAGCAAGAUAGUCCUUCGAAUAAGCAACCCUAACUCUAGAUCCCCAAUCAAACAAGAACAGGAAAUGAAACAAAGGCUACAGAUUCUGAGUCUAUAGUGCCCUAGUCACAUGUAAUCGUGGUGUAUUCACUUAGCAACUAUUGUCCUACCAGUAACGACCCUUUUAGUUAUCAUAUAUGUAUGCUUUAGAGAUACAGACUACUCCUAUAGUAUUCUUAUGCUAGCGGUAUUAUGGUAGUGUUGGUAAGUUUUAGACUUGUUGCAACAUCACAACCAAACUUAGGUACAAGCUAGUCACUCUCAUGAAAAUGUAGUUGAUCAGGCUACAUUCCCCAAAAUGUGAUUAUAUGUCUCUAAGCCCAAUUAUGCUAUCCAACAAUCUUAAUACUUUUGUUCUGUUCUAGGGUGAUACUGGCUCCUGUGUUUUAUGCGUAUAUAUAUACUUAGUUAAAUCUUUUAGAUACUUAACAGUAUAUAUUCUUGGUCAGAGUGUUUUAGUCCCGAAGUGUUUAUAGUUCGUAUAUCUUUUAUAGGUUGAUAUACUUGAUUCACUAUAAACAAUGCUCUGAUACCAAUCUGUCACACCCCAAAACCGAUAACGGCGGAAUACGUUUCGGGGUGGAGGACGUCAUGUACAGUAUCAUCACAAUUGUAUAAUAGUAAAAACAAGAAACAUGCAACCAUUUCAUUUACAUAGUGAGUUUAAUUACAAGUGUGUUCUGUAAAGUUCAACAAACACCAAAAGUAUACAAAAAUAAGAGAUGGAUCUUGUAUGCUCCACCUUCUCCAAAAUGUUGCACCUGUACCUAUCUAUCUUUGACCUGAGGAUACAANAAGUUCAACAGCACCAAAAGUAUACAAAAAUAAGAGAUGGAUCUUGUAUGCUCCAUCUUCUCCAAAAUGUUGCACCUGUACCUAUCUAUCUUUGACCUGAGGAUACAAGUUAUUUGAAUACGAGUAUCAGCAUAAAGCUGGUGAGUUCAUAAGAAUUUAGUGUGAGUUUUAGUAUAAAAUGCAUUAGUACAGAUAGUGUGAAGGGUUACAGUUUACAUUCGUAAGUAGUAGAAAAAUCUAGAAAAUCCUAUAUUUUCCAGAAAAUACAUUGUAAUUGAAAAUAUGUAACUUGCAUGUAAGUUUCAUCAUUGAAAAAUCGUUUGUUGUAAAAGCAUAUUAGUGAGUCCCCAAUAAGUAGUGUAAUAAGAAAAGUUAUGCCUGAUAUCGGUAAUAGUGGCACAAACUCCCAUUAGUAUUAGGUACUUAUUUACUUCGGGAUUUUUAAACUUAUUCUUUAGUGUUAGUAUUUUAGUGUGAAUGUAGUGUAUUCCUUGUAUGCUACUGGCAGUGUGAGUAAUAGAGUACCCCAUGACCUUCCCGGUCAUGCAUAGUGUAGAGAAGUAGUGGCAUCCCUGGGCCUGCACGGCUCAGAGUGAGGCUAACAGUCGGGAUAUAAUAGUGUCUGCCCCGUAUAGAUCUAUACAUGUAGCGUCGUUCUCCUGUCGGAAAACUCUGGGCGUAGUGCGUAGCGAAUAGAGUAUCUCAUAGUGAGUUAAUGUGUUAUCUUCGGAUUAGUACUUUCUCUUGUAUUAUAGUGUAGUAGUCUUUUGUAUAGCUCGUAGUGUUUUCUCUUAUUAGUGUAUAGUCUCAUAAUAGUGUGUAUUAUAGUGUGUAGAGUAGUGGCAGUAACGAGUAGUAGUGGCCUUAACUAUACCCAUUAUAGUUAACUUAGUGUGUAUAAUUCUUGGCAAUUAAGUAGUGAAGGCAUCGAUUGAAUUGAAAAGGCUCGUAUCCAACACCAAUAUACAUGAUAUAUAAUUAAGAAAUCAACGACAGUCGGACCGAUAACAACUACCCUAAGCCCACAAUCAAACAAGAACAGGAAAUAAGGCGAGCUAUCGGUCCUAAGUCCUUCAAGCCUUACUUCUAUAAAUAUAUUAGUGUGGUUACAUUUUAUAAGAAAAUAUAUUUAAUAAAAUUCUUGUCAAAAGGGAACAUUUAGAAAAUAGUUUAUUUAUCCAAAAUAGUUUUGAAAACGCAAAGUUCUUUUAUAAGGCAUAGUGAUAAAUCACAUAUGAUUUGAGUUAUAGAUAGUGAAUCACAUGUGAUUAAUUUUCAUAAAUAUGUAUAUUCGACUUGUACCCCCCCCCUCUAAAACAUAUAAAAACAUUUGAAAGGUUCAUUAAAGGGGUAUGAACUCAUAGUUUAUUGUAGGGUUCGAGUGUCAACGGAUGCCCUGAAUGCCAAUGGUCCCUAUAAAUCAUGUGAUGACACAUAAUUGGGUUAGAACUAGGGCGUUUCAUGCUUAAACAUGAUGGAAAAACAUUCUUAGGGCUUGACAUUACUGAAUACAAAUGUCUCAUGAUCCAUACUUAGUGAUUCAUGCAAGUAUAGGGCCAAAAGGGGGCAUUUGAGUGAGUGCAAGGCCUUGAAACUUAGUGUGCGGCUGAGGUAUGCGGCCAGAAGGGUGUGUGAGGCUGCACACAAGUGUGUGGGCGGCCGUUCAGAGUGUAUGUGCGGCCGUACACAGGAGUGUGCGGCCGUACACUCCUCUUGUGAGUCCAAAUGAAGUGUUUGCUCUUCACUCUAAGGAGAUUUGAAUGUGUGCUGCCCCCCUCAUGAAGUUGUGCGGCCGUACACCUUCAAGGGACCAUGAAUAUGAUGAACAUGAUGAGUUUUAAAGCUUGGGAUUCAAGUGUUUACCACUAAUAAGCUCGAAGAUGAACUAGAUCAUAAAUAUGAGGCCUUCAAGGUGUUCUUGGUUGAAGAUUUUUGAGAGAGAAAGUAGAGAGAGAGUAAGGAGCAUCCAAAUAAAUGAAUGAAGUGGAUAUCCAUCUAUAUAUAUGUUUGGGUGUGAGGCUGGAGGGGGUGUAGUUGGGUGUGCGGCCGCACACAUGGGUGUGUGGCCGUACACACAAAAGUGUUGCCGUACACACCUCCUUUGGUGUGUUUGAUCCGAUUCCAUGAUGUAAAACACUUUCCAACACUUCCUAAGACCCAUAGUUAGACUAUAUUAUGCCCAAAACACGCCUUUGGAACCACAAGAUUUACAAAGGAUGAUGAAUUCAAUAUUUAAAGGCAAUACGCGGACCAAUUACAUAGGAUGAAAGUUUCGGUUGUCACAAUACGCAAAAUAGUUAUUAGACUUUUCCAAGUGGGAGACUGUUGGAUUAGUGUCUAAGUCCAUAACUAUUUUGGUAUGUACUUGACCUGAUGGUGCAUGGUCCUUUUGGGUUGCCUUCACCAAAGCAACUUGAUGGGAUGAAUUAUGGAGAGAGAGGAUUAAUUAUGAUUUAUUAAUAUAUUAUGAGAAUAAUAUAUUAAAGGAGAAAUCAUAUUGUUUAAUUAAUAUUAGUUAAGAAUUAAUAAAGAAUUAAGCUUGUGGCUAAAAGACAUUAAUUGAACUUAAGGGACUAGAACUGUCAAUUGUGUGAUAGUUGAAUAUUGAGCUAGUGGACUCCAUAUUAGAGGGGUGGACGAAUUCUAUGGGGAAACCCAUUAGAAAUCGUCCUAGGCCUUUAAGGAAGGAGUCCAUGGGUUGCUUAGGGCCUAAGCAUCCAAAUUAGGGUUUCCUUGUUAGAUAACCCCUUGAGACUCAAAAACGUGGUGGACUUGUUCCAUAGGGUUUCCACACGUUUUGGGUAGCCACCACUCUCCUUAUUCUUCAUCAUCUUGCUCUUGGUGUUUGUGAACCAUUAGAGGAGUGACAUUUGUGACUCUAAGCUUUCUAAAGUCAUUACAAGGAGGAUUUGAGAUUUUAAUUGCUACAUAACAAUCAAGGUAAGAUCUAAACCCCAUUCUUAUGUUAAUAUGAUUAAUUGUAUGCUAGAACUAGGGUUUAAAGUCUUGGAUGAAUUGCAUGUACAAUAGAGAAACCUAGAUCCAAGCAUUAGGGUUUGCAUGAGCACAUAGGAUGUUCUUAUGGCCAAAACCCAUCACCUAUAUACCAGGAUACCGACCUAACAUGUCACUAACAUAUCAACAUGCAAUAAACCCGAAUACAAAUCCGAAAAGGGUCGGCAUUGGUGCCUUCGACCCUAUUAGUAUAGUGAGGACAACUCACCUCACAAUGUCGAACUGUAGCGAUAAGAGCAAGCUCCGAAUCACAACCACAAACUCCACCACCUAUAACCAUCAUAGGACCAAGUCCAUCAAAAUCCCAAAUUACCAAAAUACCCUCAUGAGUCAAGCUUGGUCAACCCUUGGUCAAAGUCAAAGUCAAUAGUCAAGGUCAACAAUCCACGUUGACCCAACUCGUUGAGUGCACCUAGCAACUUGUCGAGUUCCUCUAGAACUCAAAAACCACAAAAACUUGAGUCAACUCGUCGAGUCCAUACAACGUCCAGAAGAUCAGGAAAAACCCAAUCUACUCGUCGAGUUUUCUUACUAACUCGUAGAGUUCAUGCCGAAUCUAGAAAACGGGGAAACCAGUCUCGACUCGUCGAGUUGGCUUAUCCAACUCAUCGAGUUCAUGUAGUCUACUUCUUAUCCAUACGAUUUCAAGCUACUCCAAAGCUCUAAAUGGUAGAUCUAGCCCCUAGGGCAUAGUUUCCAUGUAAAGUUGCAAACUUUACGUGUAUGCAAGGUCUUAAAGGCUAAAACCAAGCUAAAGAAGAAGUUUUAGGUAAGGAGAAGGCCAUAACUUGCUAAAGACUAGAACUUUAUGACUAUAAGGGGCUAGAGGAUUUUAGAUCUGAAGUUACAACUUCAGAUCAUGCCUAAAACCAGAAAUAACUCCACAACAACUAGAAAUAGACCUAAACCUUUCCAUGAAGAGAUCUAGCUAGAGAGAAGUCAAGGUAACGACUUGUUACCUUCAACAGGUGCUUCUUUUUUACCUGAUGAUCUGAAAUCUUAAACCACAUAUAUGUUUUUGUCAUAUAUCUUAAUUUGGAGUUCAAUCUGGAUGGAUCCAUUUGUGCCUCAAUGGUAAGAGACUUGAUGAACAUUAUUGAAUUAGAUCAUAUCUUUUGUGUGCAUUAAACAAAUUAAUUGCAUUAUAAUUUUUGAAUCUUUUGUUCAGGUAUACUACACUUGGUAAAAUUCCCACACGCUAUUUACUCUACAAAGAUGUGAACAUGAAUCGACUAUAAUCAUGUGUGGAAGACAAUGUAGAUGGAGUUUAAUUACUUUAGAAUCUGAUGGUUUAUUGGAGUUGAAAGCUUUGGGUAUCCAAAUGAAGUUGUACACAAAUUCGGUUGUAUCAAUCGACUAUUAUGUAAGUGGAUUUCUAUCUUGUUUCAUCAGUUAAAUGGAUCAUGAGUCGAUGUGCCUCCAAAGUUCCCCAUAUUCAUGUUAUUACGAUAUAAUUAAAAGAAUCAUAUUCUAUUUUGUUACAACAAUGACAGUUUUUGAGGAUAAUGAAGUGAUAUAUUUGAAUUUUGCUAAUCAUUCUUACAUAUCUAUGCAGGUUAUUUUGUAUUUCUAGGGCCAAAAUUCUGAAUGGGUGAAUGUGUACAUCAACAAUUUGAACCCAUAAAAUGAUGACUGGAUUGGAGUUUUCUCCCCUGCCAAUUUCAGGUUUUUAUCAAUUUUAUUUUCUACUUUUGUCAAUUUGUUUAUUAUAUUUAUAGCAUCCUACUUCCAUUUGUUAAUUAAUUAAUAAAAAAUGCAUUGCUAUAAUUACAUAUACUUCUUAAAGUAUAAUAUUUUUGAGAACAUAUUUUUUGUUCCACCUUUUUAGGUGGGACAAAAAGCUGCAGUUUUUAUCCAUCUUGGGAUAAAAAAUAGACCUGAUAAUCUGUUGUUUUCAGCAUUCAACCCGCUUCCCUGAAAACUCAAAAGCCAGCCCUCCGUAUUUAUGCACUUCACCUAUUAAGGUUUGUUCUUUUAUUUAUGACAUGUGCAUUUUAAAAAUGAGUAAUCAUUUGCUAAAAGAUAGGGAUAGUUAGGAAAUUUUAUAUAUAUCUAAAUAAUUAGUUUUCUAGCAACAACUCGUUACAUUAUUAUCCAAAUUUAAUUAUUUUGUCGUGUAUAAUAUCCCUUGUAUUAAUUUGAAUGUGAUUCAUAUAUUUACAUGUGAAUUACAUGUGAUUCACAUGUAAAUUAUGUGAUUCAUAUAUAGAUCAUAUGUGAUUCACAUGUAAAUCUCAUGUGAUUCACAUAUUAAUCACAUGUAAAUCAUAUAUAAAUGAUAUGUGAUUCACAUGUAAAUCACAAGUGAAUUACAUAUGAAUGACGUAUAUAUGCACGCAUUUAUAUGUUAAUCACAUGAAAAUCACAUUUGAUUCACAUGUAAAUCACAUUUGAUUCACGUGUAAUUCACAUUUGAUUCGCAUAUAAUUCACACGUGAUUCACAUGUGAAUCACAUAUGAUUUAAAUGUGAAUCACAUGCGAUUCACAUGUGAAUCACAUUUACAUAUGAUGUCAUAUGUAAAUGUGAUUUAUAUGAGAAUCGUAUGUGAUUCAUAUGUGAAUCGCAUGUGAUUCAUAUGUUAAUCACAUGAAAAUCAUAUAUGUAUUUUUGUGAGUGUUUUUGCAUCAAUCAUUUUUUUUAAUUUUCUUGUAGAUUUGGAAGAAAUUGUGGUGAAUAUUGAAAAGGUGAAAAUGAUAAAUUAAAGAAAAUAAGAAAAUAUUGACACGAAGACAUGAAAACGAUUUGAAAUUUGUAGCAUUUUUUAUUUUUUAUAUUUUAUUUUGUAUCGAAUAAAAAUAUUUGUACUAUUAUAUUUAUAGAUUCAUUAAUAAAAAUGAUAUUUUUUGUGAUUUACUUACAAAUAUUAUAGUAUAAGAAAUAUACAAAUAUGCAUUUGAAAAAAAAUAUUCAUAUAUGCACCUAAAAAUUUACUUUUUAAAAAAAUGCAGUUUCUUUUGAAAAAAUUGCAAUUUUUUUUUUUUUUGAAAAAAAUGUAACUUUCUUUAAACAACUUGCAGUUUUUUGAAAAAUUGCUGUUUCUUUAUUUAAAAAUGCAGUUUUCUAAAAACAAAUGCAUUUUUUGAUAAAAAAAAUACAGUUUUCUUUAAAAAAAUUGCAGCUUUUUUUGAAAAAAAUGAAGUUUUUUUUUUUAAAUUAUAGUUUUUGAAAAAGCUGCANNNNNNNNNNNNAGUUUUUUAAAAAAAUAUUUUUCACAAUUUUUUUUUUCAAAAAUUCAUGUUUUCUAUAAAAAUUAAAAAAUCUGCAUUUUCUUUUAAAAAAACGAAAAAUACUAUUUUUUAAAAAAUCUGAAAAUUUGAUUUAUGAUGUAAAUUUUUAGACAUUUAUAUUAAUAUAUUAAAUAACACACAAAAAAAUUAAAUGAGAUUGAUAAGAUGACGAUCAUGUCCUUAAUGAAUUACUUUUGAUCCAACGCUCNNNNNNNNNNNNNNNNNNNNNNNNNNNNNNNNNNNNNNNNNNNNNNNNNNNNNNNNNNNNNNNNNNNNNNNNNNNNNNNNNNNNNNNNNNNNNNNNNNNNNNNNNUAUAUAUAUAUAUAUAUAUAUAUGGUUAGGUUCAUGUGAGACGACCUAAUUUUGUGUGACCGUGAAACCCCUAAAAUUAUUGAUGCUUAGAUGGAGGUUUGAAGCCAAGACAUGGGAAAAUAAUUAAUACCAUCAAUGGUGUAUCAUUAUCUACCAAUCAAACAAACUAUCAAUUGUAUCAAUUAUCAAACAGAAACUGAGUUACAUAGAUGAGGGAACUGAGAAGUUAAUUCUUAAAUUCUAAAAGAGUGUAACUGGAUUCAAAUAAUGAGAUAAAGAUUUGAUGAAAACUUAUUCCUUUAUAUCAGUGAGUAUAGGGUUGAGGGCAAUUGCAAAAAGUAAAACUAAAAGCAUUCAGUUUUAAAAAAACAGAAAAUUUGAAAUUCUUAAACUAAAAUUACCUCUGAGAUGGAAGCUUGAGCUAGGUGAUGAACAACGACCAUUUCUCCAUCCACCGAUUGAAGUAGUUAGAACAAUUUGAACUCUUGUUUGUUGAAGCAUGAUUUUCGAAACCCACACAGCGUAUGCUUUUCUAUCUUUUUCCUCAUCAUCGGAAUCGUUGAUCCUCCUGUAACAUCCCAAAACUCAUACCAAUCUAGACUCCUCCAUGUCUCAAACUCAUAAAGUUAUCAACCUUAUCUCGUAUGAACCUCUCACCCUAUCUAAAGGACCUUAAGUCCUUACCUCCAGUCCCUUACCACCUCUUGACGGCCAUGAUCUGAAGUUGCAACUUCAAAUCUAGACUCCUCCAUGUCUCAAACUCAUAAAGUUAUCAACCUUAUCUCGUAUGAACCUCUCACCAUGCCCUAAACCUCAUUAUAGACUUGGUUUUAGUUUUCUAAGCCUUUAAUAUCUUGCAUGCACGUAAAGUUUGCAACUUUGCGUGGAAUUUGUGCCUUAGGAAGCUGGAUCUACAAUAUGGAGCUUUGGGUGGCUUAAAAACGUCUGGACAAAAAAUUGACUACAUGAACUCGACGAGUCGCAUAGUCAACUCGGCGAGUCGGAUGAAGAUUGCUCGUAUUUGAUUCUGCAUGAACUGGUGAGUCGGUAAGAGGAAUCGACGAGUCAGUUAGGGUUUUCCCCGACAUCUGGACACGCAAGGACUCAAUGACCUGGUUGGAAACUCGACAAGUCAAUUAGGGUUUUGGUGAUUUCUAAGUUCUUAAGGAACUCGACGGGUUGCUAGGUGUACAUGCUAGCUAGCAUAUGAUAUUUAUAUGCACAUGUUUGUUGGUUUGGGGGAUUGGGUUGAGGCAGGUCCCGCUUUGUGCUGUGGCCAAGAUACCCAGGGCGGAACAGAUAGUCCGGACUUCGGUACGAUGCAGGGGACAAGGUCCCAGUCAGUUUCCAAACUUUGGUCCAAUGCAGGGGGCAAGGCCCCAGUUAGUCCGGACCUCGGUCCGAUGCAGUGGGCAAGGCCCAAUAUGUGCUUUAUAUGUUAUUGUAUGGUAUGUGGUAGUUUGGGGGAGCUCACUAAGCUUCGUGCUUACGGUUUCAGUUUUUGGUUUCAGGUACCCAGUUUUCAAAAGAGGAGCUUGGAGAGGUUGCAGUGCACACACCAUAAUCAGUUAGCCUGGGAAUGUUUACUCUGAUAAUAAGAUCAUGUUUUGGAUUAAUACUCGGAAAUUAUGUUAUGACUAUGAUGCAGUUUUUAUAAAUAUGGUUUUAGUAUUGUUUUUAAAAGAAAUUUUUAGUACUGAUUUUUGGGUCGUUACAGGAGUGUUAGAAUGCUCAAAACCCAACAUGUUUAUCACGUAAAGUUGCAAACUUUACGUGCAUGCAAAGCUCUAAAGUCUAAAAAUGACAAAACCAAGCUUGUAAAGACGUCUCACACUUGAUGGAAGGCUCAUACUUGCCAAAGUUGAUAACUUUAUGGAUGUAAAGGCCAAAGGGAGUCCAGAUCUGAAGCUGCAACUUCAUAUCUUGGCUCAAACAUAAGAAACCUUUCCUAAAACCCACCCAAAAGAGAUUUAAGAUGAAAUGAGCCAAGGUAACAGCCUAAUACCUUUAAGAGGGUGUCAGUUGAAGUAGAUCUUUGCUUCCCAUGAGUUCCUUGCUUCAAUUUACUUGUUUCCCUAAGUGUUUCUUCACCAAUAUCCCUCUUCUAAGCUUUAACACACCAAAGAAACACACACACACACACACACACACAAUUUUAGGGUUUAAGGGUGCCAAGGAGCUGUAAACGGGAGGAUGGGGGAGACCAAUGAUCCUUUAAAUAGGGUGCAAUACCCCAAACUUUAGGGUUUCAUCUGCCAGCUCCUACUCGUCAAGUCCCUUCUUGGACUCGGUGAGUAGGUCACUAAAACUCGUGGACCAACCCAUUGUUACUCGACGAGUAGGGCAACCAAAUCGUCAAGUAGACCUUGAAAUCAAGAAAAUUCUUAUAUAAAAUCAAUACAUGAGAAUCUGGGCGUUACACCAAGUCUCUAACCUUCAGAUCCGAAUCAAUAUGAGGUUUAGAUGGAUAAAGUUUCCAACUUCACCAUUAACAAGGCUACUAACUUUCAAAAUCUAAACUUUAUGCACUUAAAGUGAAUAAAAUCUCAUAACACCAAAAACUAUAUAGAUAUAACAAAUGCAUCAUCAAGAUUCAAACUUUAUACGUCCAGAAGAAAUAUCAAGGUGAGAAAGGUUUGGAUCUACAAGCUCCAAUACAACUAACACUUAUCCAAUGAGAACCUUCUUCUCCAGGAUGCACCAAGAACACACCAAAGCACUUUAAAACACCUUUUUUCUCACAAGGCUCGAACCAAGGUUAGGGUUUUAAGGGAGAACGUUGAAGGGUUAGAGGAUGAGAACUAAAAGGGUUUGAGGGAGUUAAGGAGCUUAAAUAGGGCUUAAAACCCUCAAAUUAGGGUUUGACAUCUGAUCGCGUAUGCCCAACGUACGCUUGGUAUGCCCAGUGUACUAAGUUGGGUCUCCUCGAUUGACCAUGUCUAGUACGCCCAUCGUACACCAUGUAUACCCAACGUACUAGACUAAACUCAAACCUCCAUAUCUUCGAACGGUCAUAACUUCUUCGUUCUAACUCUGAUUCGACAAUCUUUAUAUCUACAAAAAAGUGUUGAAGAGCCCGACAAUAUUAUCUAAAUAUAUUGGACUAAAAACUUCUCGAACAAAAAUCCAUAUUUUAUGCAAGAAACCGACCUAUGACUUUUCCCUUUCUACCAUUCGGCCCAAAACACAAUUCAAGGGAUAAAUCUCUUAACUAUCAUUACCUUCUCCUACUAGGACUAAACAUUGCCUCCUUAAGGCCCAAAGCCUUACACAAUCGACUUCCGACCCACACCCCAUCAAUAGCAGGAAACAGGAUGUUAUAACUCUUGAACGCGUGUAUUUGUUUUAGGGUCUUGUCAAUGUUAUGAUAUGUUAAAGGAAAUACUGAACGAGGCGUGUCGAGUCAUUAGCCAGACGCAAAAAUAUAUUGGUCGUUUUGAAUGGUAAAGAAUUGGGAUUGUAUGAGGAUUUGCUAUAUUUGCAUGAUCGGUAAUUGUCGGCCGAGGUGAACUUAAGAGUUGAUGAAGGUAUUGUCCCUUGUGAGAUAUAUUUCUCAUGAUCAUACCUCAAUAUGAUUCAUUAAGGUAAUGUUGCCACCUUGUCAGGGUGUCAUUUUCCACUUGUGAGUUAUAUUGCUCAUAACCAUACACGUUCUCUUAUGCAUUAUCUCCAAAUUAUUUAUAUCAUAAUACAUCAUCUUUGUAUCCUAACUUAUACAUUAGAGAGUAUUGUCGGGAACAUCAAGAUACAUUAUUUGUUUUAUCUUUAGGUAUUACAUCCUACCAACCAAAUUGAUCUCAUUUCAUAAGCUUAAUGGAAACAAACUAGGGGUGUAACUCAGUCAAACAACUCAUGAGAUACAUGGAAUCGACUCAAACACUAUUUGGAAUCGACUGAGAUGAAGUCGGGUUUAGCUUGAGCUCUAGCUACUUGAGUAUGAUAUGAACUUGAGUAUUGGAAUACUCGAAUCGUGAAUGGCAAGCUUAAUUGAGAAAAAUUAUAAUUACACUUUUAAACUUGAUUUUAUUCAUAAUUGAAUAUAAUUGAGGCGAGUUGAAUCGAACUAACAAGCCUAAUAGAAAUUUUAUUGCAUUUUAAUGUAAUUUUUUUUAAUAGCUAAUGGAGUUGAGUCAAGUUAUGCUCAAAAGUAUUGAUUAUUUUACCAAGCUUGAGCUCGAGCCGUAAAACUAAGACUCGAGUCAAGUUGGAGUUGAGUUUCGAAGCUCUACAUUGACAUACAUAUAUACAUAUUAUCAACUAUCGUCAUAACCAAUAUUGAACCACUAAGACUGCCACAACCGUAUCGAAACUUGGUCUUCUACAAUCUCUAUGUUUGUGGUUGGUCCUCCUCGAUCACAAGUACUUGAAACUCUCAACCAAGAAAUAUAUUCAGACACAAAAAAAGAAAAAAAAAACAACAAAAGUUAAUAACUCAAAAGAGAAUAACAAAAUAUUAUCAUAUUUGAUAAGUAAUAUAAUAAUUAAAAAUAAAAAAUUGUUUUUUUCGGUAUAUAUUAUAAAAAGUUAAAAACUAAAAUAUUAAUUUUCUUCCAAUGUUCAUUUUUAUUUCCCUCCAAAACUAAUUUGUCCUAUUUGUCCCUCCCACCGAUUCCCACAUGUAAAUUUUCUAUUCCUAAAUGGAUUUUGCAUUCCCUCCAAAUAUCUAUACACACAUAACUCCAUCGCGUUUUUGAUUUUAGCCCAUCCUCCCACUAAUAUCCAUAAGUAGUCUAUUACAAAGUAAGAGAUGAAUAAAAAUGGGUAAAUACUAUCAAUUUGUCCUCUCUAUCAUAAAGAUGUGUAGCUUCAUGCAUCAGUUAGAAAAAGAUCGAAAGAGCAAGACUGGUUGGCUACUAUUAGGUAUUUCGUGUUUUUUAUUUUGAUUAUCUGCAAUUCGAAUUUAGAAGUAAAAAAAAUUGAAUAAAUUCACAUGACGAUAAAACCACGUCCGUUUUAAUUUUGUUAAAUUAGUCUUAGAUUUUGAAUUUCUCUGUUUUGUUUGGUUUUGUUUUGUUUUUUUUACAAACAUAUCACUUAUUGUUUCCAUCGUUGUUAUAUAUGUGUCUGCAACUGUGUGUUUAUAAUCUUACUUUAGAUUUCACAUGGAUUUAUUGAAAUGUAUAAAUGAUUUCAACUGCAUUCAAAAUUAUAAAUAUUGUUUUGGGGAUGGGUGGUUAUAAAUGAUAUUGUGAAAUAGAUAAUUAUAAAAUUUUGAAUUUUGAGGUUCAGGAACUUUCUAAUUAUUAAAUUAUUUGAUUUUUGAAUGUUUGCCUUUAUAUGAAUUUCUAACAUGAUUAUUGAAUUUUUGCCAUGCUAGAAAUCACUUCGUACAUUUGACUUGAUUCUGCAAGUUUGAUUACACGCUUGAAAUUUGAUUAUUGAAACACAUAUUUGAAUUUCCUUUUAAUACUUUUACAAGCAUAAUAGUGUAAAGUGUGUAAUUGGAUGAAAUGAAAUUAAGGAUUGUCAAAAUGUAUGUUUUAUCGUCUUAUACUAUUUGUUUAUAUUUUAUAGUUUAAAUACGAGUAACACUACUUAGUUUUGUAUUUUUUUUUUUUUGUUGUUGGUAUCUUCAAAAACAGUUCAUACCAGAAGACAUUGGGCUAGCUGAGCUCUUAGACAAAUAAAAGAUAACUUUGAAGUCUCAUUAAAGCUUUUAGGUUUUACUACUUUGGUGUGAAUGACAUAAAUACCCCCAAUUCUAUUUGUGCAAAAAAAUAUAAUGCCUUUACAAUCAUACAUGGCUUAGGUGUUUUUAUUAAUGUAGUCCACUAAUCAUAAUUUUUAUUGCAUGUUAUAGUUUUUUCUUUUAUAGGUUUUGUCAAGGAAAAUUGAAAACGGAUCUUCGGAGCGCAAAUUUACCCAUUAAUGUUUUUGACUAAUUUUACGUUCAUUCUAAGUUUUAACUAUGUCAAUUAUUGUUUCGUUGAAAUAAAUUGUAAAAAUAAUCUUAUUGCUCUUCAAUGUAAAAGUUUGUAUUUUUGUAUUUGUCAAUAUAUAAUCGAUCCAAAUUUGAAACUAAUGAUUUCUUUAACAAGUUUAACUAAAAACUCAAGAGGCUAGAUAGAGUUUGACCUUCUAGUUACUCUUUGAAGCUGCUUCAAAGCGUAUCAAAUUGAUUGACUUGAUUACACACUUAGACCAACAAUUAUGAUGUUUCCGUUAUUCUUGUAAAAAAUCCCGGUUGUUAAAAAAUGGGUCCUAUGACACACUGAUAUGAUAUGUGCCAUACACAUAGAACUCGGUUGUAAGUUAAAAUCCGGGAUCUAUUAUUAUAUAGCUAAAAGGCCCGGUUUUUAAAAUGAGUCCGGGGUAUUUAAGCAUAGCAUAUGACCCGGAUUUUGUUUUAAGUCGGGUCUUAUAACAAUCCCCAUUAUAAAGCCCGGUUUUUACAUAAUAUAACCCGUUUAUUUAAGUAACCGGGUCCUAUUAAGCGAGUUCUAUGUACCUUUUUGUAGUAUCUGUUAACGAGUGAUUUUUUCAAAUAAAAGACAUAGAUUCAAGUCUACCUAGAAAACACUAAAACACAAUUUUAUCAUAAUUGUAUCUUUUGUAGGUGCCAUCAUAUUAAAAAAGCAAUAGUUUCAAACUACAAUUAAGGUGUGCUUUUGAGACUAAAACACUACAAAAUUUUAUAGCGGAGAGGUCUCAAUUUUUUAAAUCCUACAACCUUCAAUCUUGAGGUGGUAUGAGUUAAAAUAAAACAAACAAUAGCUCCGAAAACCCCAAAUCGACCACUAGAACGUUGGGACAACGACCUCAAAGCCCUUCCUUUUUUGUUUUUUCCACAUUGAAGAUUGAGGAAUCUGCAACUCAUUAGCCAAAGAAAACACACUAAAAGUUAUAUAACUUUAUUCUGCAAAUGUAAAAGCAUUCACCUAGUAGUUUUUAUAAAAUAUAACUUUAACAUACCAGCUAAAGAAUUAUGAAAAAUAUUCCUUUCAUUAUUUUUUUUUCUAAAAAAUAUACAAAAACGUUGGUGUAACUAGAUGUUUUUUUUUUUAUAAAUAAAAUCGAAUUAUUAAUUUUUUUUGAAGCAAUUAACAGAUGGGAAUGCCAUCAUUCAUUCAUUUGUUGUAAUUUAGAUUUUAGUUCGAUAGUUAAAAUUCCACAAAAAAAUAUUCGUGGAAUUAAAUUAAGUGGAGAUGUUCAUUUUGAAAAUAAAUGAAAGAAAUUAUCCGAUAAAAUCAUAAAGUCCUCAAAGGGGUCGGCAGACACUUGUCAGAAACCCUUCAAUCUCGACAUUUUGGGUUAUACUCAGCCACAAGAUUGUUGACUUUUUGGAGUCCACUAGCAUAAUUAAAGUACAGCUCAUUACAAUUUCUCCACUUUCGCCACAACGUGUCCAAUCCACCAUGCAAAACUACUAUAAAUACGUAAAUAAUCUUUACGCUAAUAUCACAAUUUCAUUAAUGAUUAAACCUCGACAUUCAUACCAAGUCAUAUCGUAUACACACACAUAUUGAUUAUAGUACACUUCUUCCAACCAUCCAUGAAGUUCCUACUACUACUUCUAGCUUUGCUUCUUGCUUCUUCAGCCAUUUUAGGUGCACAGGGCCGAGUUGCCCGCAAGAAUUUAGGUAUAGAUUUUGGUGGCGUAGGGGUUGGUAUCGGGACAGGUGUUGGCAUCGGAGGCAGUGGAAGCGGUUCUGGAGCAGGGGCUGGAUCUGGAUCUGGUUCGAGAUCUUCCUCCUCCUCCUCUUCAAGCUCCUCUAGCUCAAGCACUAGUGGCAAUGGAGGAGGUGAUUCUGAAGCAGGGUCAUCUGCAGGGUCAUCUGCAGGAUCAUCUGCAGGCUCCCAUGCUGGUUCAGGACACCGAGGUGGCGAUUAAGUAAGGAAGUAUAUGAAACGUAAUCGUAUUUGUAACUAGUUAUAUCUGAAUAAAUGAAUGGAAAUACUAGCCAUUUGUACUUGAAAGGAGUUGUAUCUUCUUUUUAUGUAAGAGUUAAGUGGUAAUGUUGUAUACAUAGUUUGUAUCUUUUUUCGAGAUUGAAUGAACAGUUUUGAAUUUGACCAAUUGAGCACUUUACAUUUCAACAAAUAAAAGAAUAUAUAUAAAAUUUAACAAUAUUCAUCAAUUCUUCACAAGAUGGGUUUUAGGAGGUAAAAAGGAUAAAUAUGUUAAGGAUUGAUGUAUAACACAUUAAGCUAUAUUUUGUUUGACAUAACCCAUUAACUUAUAUAUAUAUUUUUUACUUAAUUACUCAUUAAAUCAUAUUGUCUAGAUUAAGUAAGAAACGGAAACAACCGUUUAUAGUUGUAUACUUGUAUGUAUUAAGUGACUAGUUUAUAACCCAUGAGAACCAUAACUAUUAAAUUAAUUAAAUUUUCAUAUUAAAAAUUAAAAUUAUUAAUCAAUUAUUUUAAAUAAAUUAUUACUUAAGAGAUAUUUUUUAGUUAUAUAAAUUACUAGGUAUGAGACCCAUUUAUUACAUGAGUUUAUUUAAAAAAAAUAAAUAUGAAAUUUUAAUAAUUUGAGAAGUUUGAAUUUAUAAGGAAAAUAAGAAAAAUUUUAAAUUGUUAAAAUUAAAGAGGAUUUAAUACAUUGAAUACAUUAUAUAUAUAAAUUAUUUCUAAUAAAUACCUUACAUAUUAAAUUUGGAAUUUUAAUUUAACAAAAUAAAAUGACAAAUGAAAAAUAGAAAAUACCAUGUGUCCAAAUGAAGAAGAAGAGGACAUGUGACAAAAAGAUUUUGAUUUAUUAAGGAUGAUCAUUGCUGAUUUAAAUAAAUAUGUGAAGUUAUAUCACUUUAUAAUCUAUAUUAAUUUUAUUUUAUUUUUAACGUAAUGUUAUUAAUUUAAUAUAAUUAUAAUGAAAAAAUUUAAAAUCUAAAACUUAAAAUAGAGAAUCAAUAAUUAAUUUAAUGUAAUUAGAGUGAAAAUUUUAAAAUUUGAAAUUAAAAAUUGAUAAUUAAUAUAUUGACAAAUGACAUGAUCGAUUAUAUAUAGUUAUUAAUGAGGAAUUCUAAUAAUAUGACACUUGUCAAUAGAAGAGCAAAUUUAUUUAUUUAUUAGAAUUAGAAUAGGGAGAUUUACCUUAUUACAUGCACUAAGGUCUCAUUUGAUAGUUUCUGUCUGAUAAAGUGUUGUCUGGUAAAGUGUUGUCUGGGAAAGUUUUCUGACUGGGAAAGAAACCAUGCUGUUUGAUUGACCGUGUUGAAUAAUGAAAAAAAAGUAAUAAUUCAAUAAAAAAAUAAAUUUAAAAAAAGUUAUUUAAAAAAAAUUAAUAAUCCAAUAAAGAAAGAAAGAGGCAGGGUUUGGUUUAUAAUUGUCUUUCCAGCCCAUUUAGCCAGAAAGAUAUGGUUUUGGGGCUUUCUGGGAAAGACAUAUCUUACCGGGAAAGACCACUUCUUUUGUGUAAAUCAAACAAUCUUUCCGGUCCAUUAAGCUAGAAAGAUCUGUUUAGACCUGGAAAGAUGCGUAUCAAACGAGGCCUAAGUUAGAAAGAAACUACCCUCUUGACUUAGUGCCACAUAUUUGUAACCAUAGGAAAAAUAUUAUGGAAAUACACUAAAACAAAUAAAAUAAAAGACUGUUGAGGUUUAUGUUUAACAGUAUUUUUAACACAAGUUCGCUUGUAACUAGACGUUUGUUUCUAGGGAUACAAGAACUAGAAGCGGUUCAUCUAGGCCGCCCGAACCUAAGAAAAUCUAGUUACGACACUCAAUAAUUGAAGACAAAUUAAACUUUAAGGUUGUAAUUGGCGAGUGUUUAAUUUGGUGAUUUAAUAAGGUUUUUAAAACUCAAAUUUCGGUUAUGAAAAAUAAAAUAUUUGGUGAAAAGCUCCUGAACUUUUGCUGGUCGACCAAUUGUGCAUGCGUACACAUAUGAUUGACAAUUACACACAAGUUUAAUGAACCCAAACUAAUUCGGUUUGCAUUAACAAGGCUACUAAACUUUUUUACUUAUAAUCUUAUAUAUCCAUUUCAUUCCAUCAUCCCAGUUAUGUUGACCGACUAAAAACAUACUUAACCUCGCUUCUUAAUUAUUUCAACUAAUUAAUUCACUUUAAGAAUUAAUUUCUUAUAGAUUUUAAUUGUGUUUUGGGCGCAUAAUAUACCAAAAUGAAUGUAUAUAUGAACACCGAAGAGAACAUAGACAUAUAAACAUUUGUCAAUUUUAAAUAAGUUUAUGGUUCGAAAAUCGUGUUUAAACAUAUUAUAAAACCAUUUUUGAAAAUGAGAUAAACCUGUGUUUCCAAUAGCUAGUAACUUCUUUAAGUAAAUAGAAAAAAAAAAGGAUAAUAUAUAUAGACCUUCGAUUAUGAGGCAAAACACCGCUUUAAAACAAGCAUAUUUGUUAAACUGAAUCAGUUACACUGAAGUUUAAUUGUUUAAUAUUGUUGUCGAUAAAAAAUUCAAAGUGUGAAGAUACAACCAUACGGAAAGGGUGUUUGAUUAAUAAAGUAUAAUUGUCUCUAUAAGAAAAAACACCAACGAAAAUAGAAAUAUUCUGACGCCUGUUUUCUCGAGGUGAAUUACAUAAUUUUGAUCAUUAAUUUUAUACUAUCAGGUGAUGUUAACUUAAUUAGUUAAUCCACGUGUACACAGUUACAACUUGUUAGAACACUCAUUAGCCUAAUUAGUUAAUAAGUCUCUAUACAUACAUACAUAUAUAUAGUUUAAUCCUCUCAUUUGGUUUGUAACUUUUUCUUCAAUGAAAUGAAUGAAGUUUCUCCCUUUCUCUCUGUAAACUCAAACAUGGUAUCAUAGCGAUGAUCCUUCCUUUCUUUGAUUCUUUCAUUUCUUCAUUUCUUCAAUUAUGUCUCAGUGAUCAGAUGCUGGCAAUUCUUCUGUUCAUGAUAAUUCAAAUAUCCCUUAUUAUUUCCUUGGAGCAUCAGAUAAUCCAAGUUGGAUUCUAGUCUCAAAUGUCUUUAAUGGAAUCGGAUUCAUGGCCUGGGAACGCUAGAUGACAAUCGCUUUAUCAGCCAAAAACAAAUAUGUACACGUGGAUUAACUAAUUAAUAAGUUAACACAUGAUCACUUUCAAAACGUACAUCUAACACCAGCAUAUAUGGCCGAAACUUAGCUAAAAGAUAACUUAAAUAUUUUGAACUAUACUAUAUCAUGGUUUUGAAUUACACAAUAAUUAACGAACGACAAGAGUUCUAAAAAAUGCCCCAUUUACAGAAUUCCAUAUCAUCGACAAACACUUAAAAACGAGUUUUUUUUUUCCUUUUUUUUUUCCAGAUAAUCUCUACCGCAUUUUGAGGUCAGCUGGCGGGAGAUCCUUAUCUUCUUCGUAUUAACCACAUCUUAUUUAGAAUUUUGGACGGUGAUUGGUGUGGAUUUUAUAUUUUUUUAGGUGUAACUAAAUAAUUGGAGAGUUCCACUAUCAUUUAAAGUGCAAUUGAUCGUGGGUUGAGCAACAAUAAUGCCAAUCAUGGUAACUUUGGCCACUAUACGAGUAUCCACUAGCAUGCUCGACCCAUUUUCAGCCACAAUUCUAUGCUUCUUUCACACUUCACCGAGUUUUUAGGCGAGAAAACAUAAGCAAAUACUCCUAAAAAAGAACAAAAAGCGGUGGGGACCAAAAAAUUGUCAUUCACCAGUUUUCAACACCGAAAUACCAAUGUUAAUAAUCGAUCCAUGUGUCCACCACUUUCACUUCGUUUUUAGUUAUUCACCCACCCUCUACACCUAUAAGUAGACCUAUGGUUUCGGAGCAAUCACCAAACAAUAAGCUAAACAUUUCUUUUGAUAAAUAAAGGCUUAAGGUAUAUGGCGAAAAUGAAGGCAAUGAGCCUCGCUAGCUUGCUAGUACUUUCAACUUUAGUUAUGGUGUCAGAGAGUCGGGUGGCGAGAAAGGACUUGGGUUUGGAUUUGGGUGGAGUAGGUAUAGGUAUAGGUACUGGAAUCGGUAUUGGACUCGGAGGAGGUGGUUCAGGGUCUGGGUCUGGUGCAGGUGCAGGAAGCUCUGGUUCUAGCUCAUCUUCCAGCUCCUCGAGCUCUAGUUCUUCCGGAGGAGGAGGGGGAGGAGCAGGCUCAGAAGCUGGCUCCUCUGCUGGUUCUCAUGCUGGAUCUGGUUCAGGAGGCCGGGGAGGCGGAGGUGGCGGCGGCGGCGGUGGUGGUGGAGGUGGAGGUGGAGGCGGUGGACGUGGAGGAGGGUCUGGUGAGGGAAGUGGCUAUGGGUCUGGGUCUGGGUCUGGGCAUGGGCGUGGAGGUGGUGGAGAUGAUCGCAAAUAAGAAAAUACGUACUAAUUAUCUUUUUCUUGGAAGAUUUAUGAAUAAGUUAUGCAUGCAUGCAUGCAUUAAUUAAAAUGGUUACUUGUGUAUUAAGUCGCUUUUAGGUUAUGAUGAACAGUGCAUUUGUUGGAAUGCUUUUAGUUUAACAACAAAUUGUGGUUCGUAGUUCAUGAUUGUACUGCAUGCCAUUAUAAUGUAAUAUCCUGUUUUCUUCUUUGGCAAAUGAUCAGGUUGCUUUCCAGUCAUCCAUAAAAUUAUAGUAUAAUUAAUUUGUGUUAACCUCGUUUUUUACGAAAGGUAAAACUUAGUUCUAAAUAGUAUCAUGCCACACCCAACUUAAAGUCAUCAUGUUGAUGUUGUGAGAGUUAUAUCAAUAAAAAGCCAAAAGCCAAUCAUAAACACUACUAGAAAACCAUAUGGUUUAGCUAUAAAAAAUAGCCAGAGCCGGUUUAAAUAUAUAUGGGCUGGGGUAAAAAAACAAAAAAACCUCUAAAAAAUAAAUAUAAUAAAGAAUCAAAAAAAUAUCAAUUACUCUUCAAUAUAGACGUGUUUAAUUAGAAAUAACAAUCAAACUAAAUUGUUUAUCUUUUGAGUUAAUUUGGGUUCCAACCAACUUUGAACCCUAAAAAUGAUUUAGGUAAUAUAUAUAUACACACUACAUAGCUCAUAAAUUUCGGGUCAUUUGGAGUCGUGGGCCCUGGGCGGUCGCCCGGGUUGCCCACCGUCGGCCCUGAAAAUAGCUAUGGAAAAUUUCCGUAGGUAGUUACCUAUAUAAUAUCAACGGAAUGGGAUGCCCUAAUUUAGUAACAGAAUAACACACGUCAUGAAGUCCAAUAAUAAGAAGUUAAAUAACCCGGUUUCACAACCCUUAUUGGGUUUGGUUCGUCGGAAUUGAAUGGAAUUCGGGGGAAAAGGAAUCCAAUUCCUUUGGAUUCCGGCGUUUGGUUCAACAUUAAGGAAAGGAAAAUGAUUCCUAAAUGAGCAAACAUUCCAUCAAAUGGAGGAAAAUACUUUCCUUCAAAGAAAGGAGGGAAUUAAUUCCAUACCAUCUAGGAAAGUGAAAAGUACAAUUAUACCCUUUUAAUUUCACAAAAUCAUUCUAACCCUAUCUCACGUAUUCUCCAUCUCUACGUCAAAAUCAGAUUGCAACCGACUUCAACACAACACUCGUCUUCUACAUCUCGUCUUCUGCCAGGUAAAUCUCUUUCUUACUCUCGAUCUCGCUGUCUCUCACUCUCGUUCUCUUUUCUUUAUCCAUCUCUUAAUUUCUUGAGAAAUCUCGAUUUGGAUCAUGUAAAACAGAAAACAUGAUGGUUUAUACCUGACAGAACUGAUUUAUUUUGUAUUCACAACAACAUCUGUCAAAAUUGACUGUGAUGUUUUAGAUCUAUUUGCUGGAAAGAGACGCACCAUAACACAUACAACCUAUUUUUUCUUUUGAACUAUUUUUUGACAUAUAUGUUUUUUGUUUGAAUCUAUUUUAAAUCUUCUGGUAAGUAAAUAUGUUGAUCCUCACCAUCAUUUAUGAUUUGCAGUUAUAGCUUAAGUACUCCCUAGAUCCUAUGUAUCAUCAAUAUUUCAACAUUGUGGAAGAAAACAUUGGUGUUCUAGGUUGUUGAACAUUCAAAUGUUGCAGGGAUGGGAGUUCAAUGGUUUAUUUGUAUUAAAUUGAAGACAAUUACUUCAUAAUAUUUUCAUGGAGAUUAGAUAUAAUGAUAGAAAGAUAGAUGUUAAAAUGGCAAAUUGUGUUACUUUCAUGUUAUUGAAGACCUAAUACUGAUGAUGGUUUGUUUAAUGCUUUUUGGAUCGUAAUUUUCAUUGAAGCUGCUUGAUUGUUUUAUGCAAAUUAGAAUAAAAUUUGUGAAGUCUCGAAACUAGACUUACAUGUGUAAAAGAACAUGGAUUUUUAGAUAUCUAAAUAUGUAUAUAUGAAAUGUUAAUUGGCAAGUAAUGACAAAAAAAAGUAUAAACACAAAAAAACAUAAUUUUUGACAGUGUAAUAAAAAAUGACAAUUCUGUCAUUUUAACUAAAUUCCAAUUCCAUUUCCUUGAACCAAAUAGAAUCUGAAAUUAAUUCCAAUUCCAUUUCCUGCCAACCAAACAACAUAUGGAAUUGGAUUCAAAUUCCUAACAGAUUCCUUUUCCAAUUCCAAUUCAAAUUCCUUCAGCAACAUUCUGCGAACCAAACAACACAUAAAUGUUCCAUUUUCUUUUAGAGAACACAAGAUCUAGAUUUGAAAAUAUAAUAGAAACUUUUUGUUAUUUGUAAGUUCCACAUUCUUUUAUAGUAACCGAUUCCCUUUUAAGCAAAAGUUUCGGUUCUAGUAACCGAAACCUCGAAAUAAGCAUAAAUAUUCAUAUUUAUUUAUACAUAAUAGCUACAUACUUCCAUGUGUUUCAUAUGACAAUAAUUUGCUUUAUUUUUUUUAAACAUAAUACGAUUGUACUUUAAUUUCCAUACACAUAACAACACUAUAAUUUCAAUUAUACAUAUAAUGCUAUUAUACUUACAUUUCAUAGUUGGGUCUUUUAUCAAUGGAUAGAUUUCUGAAAUCAAUGUUAUUCUUUAUAAGGAUUUCGUCUAAAUUUUUUAUAAUAGACAUUGUGUUGUAAAUUAAGGAUGGUGACUAUAAUAAUUACUCUGAAUGUUGAUUAAAAUUGUUGGAUAACUAUAAAAUUAGCUAAAGUAAUUACAUGUGGUUAUCAAAAGUUAUGAUUAGCCAUCUAGAUCUAGAGUGUUAAUGAUAGGGAGCUGUUAUUAAUAUCUCUGUUUUUAUCUUCAUACUCCUGCAAUUAUUACUUUUUAGGUAUUUGAUUUUUUUCAAUUACAUUUUUGUAGAAUUUCAUAGUUAUUAACCAAUAACUAAACAAUGUUACAUAGAAGACAGUGUAUUACAUAGAAGACAGCGCACUGUGUAAUUUAAAUCUUUUUUUAUGGAAGACUGCACCUUCAUCUAUGUGAAGUGUGUUCAAUUUUUCAUAAAUUAAAACAAUUUAUAAACUACAACCAACAACAACCAACAAUUACAUAGUAAAUUGAAGAACAUUUUUUUUCAGUUAAUCAAACAAUAAUACAUGAUACAUGUAUAAUAUAAACAAGUAAAAUAAAAAUGAUUACGUAAUAAUCACAAAUAAUAAACAAAUCUGUUAAAAUCUAAUAACUUUCGGGAAACAUUUGUUGGAUUAGUGUCUAAGUCCAUAACUAUUUUGGUAUGUACUUGACCCGAUUGUGCAUGAUCAUUUUGGGUUGCCUUCACACUGGUGACUACACAAGAUGAUUGUUGUGGAGAGAGGUUGGUUUAUCGUUAAGAAUAAUAAAUUAGGGUAUAAAUAUGAUUUUUUAAUAUAUUAUAUGAAUAAUAUAUUAAUUUGGAAUCAUAUUAUUAAUUAGUAUUUAAUCAGAAAUUAAUUUAGAAUUAAUUUUGGGAUUAAAGGAACUGACUGAAAGUGCAGGGGCUAUUUUGUAAUUAUUCAAUAGUUGAGGCUUUGGGCCAUUGGAUCACCUUUAUUAAGGCUUAAACGAAAAUCCUAGAAGGAUCUAGGAGUUUUCGUCCAAAGGCUUAAGGAAAGGAGUCCAUGGACUUGCUUAGGCCAUAAGCUAAGGGAUUAGGGUUUACACAUUGAAACCCUAGUUAGCCUUAAGUAUAAAUAGCACCCUAAGGCACUAAGAUUUCGUCCAAGCCUUGGUAAACCCUAAAAGGGACAAAAUCUAGGGUAAGAUACCCUUCUCUCCUCUCUCAUAUAUUCAUCCUUUCACCUAGUGUGUUUGUGAGCCAUUAGAGGUACUACACUUGUGGUACUUGCUUUCAAGAGCUAAGGAAAUUCAAGGAACUAGUUGUUAUUACUAUAUAACAACAAAAGGUAUGUAUUCUAUUCUUCUAUGUGGAUUUCGAAAAUAGUACUAGCAUGCCAGGUUUCUUUUUAUGUUCAUAAAGUUGUAUAAGUAAUAGUGAAAACAUAGGUCCAACUCUAGGGUUACAUGCACACAUAUGAUUAUUUGUAUAAACCCAUCAACAUUAUCUUCAACCACCGCCGACGAUAUACUGCCACCAUUAACAUUGCCGACGUUGCCGGAGAAGAGAGGAGGAACGUGAAAAAGAAAAUAGCGACUGAAAGAACGAGAGAAAGAUAAGUCUGAAACGUCGCCGGAAACCGCUUGAAGCGUGAAACCUCGCCGAAAAUAGUCUGAAACGUCACCAGGACCACCUGAAGUUGACGGAAUCGCUGCCUCCCUCUUACUUGGCGGUUGAAUCGUCACCUGAACGACUGCCAUCACCGUGGGACAAAGAACGAAAGGAAGAGAAGUUAAAAGAAUCUCGCCGGAAAUCGCCUGAAGUCACCGGAUAUCACUGAAGUCGAAGGAAUCACCACGUAUAUUUCAUCUAGAGGUUGAAUCGUCACCUAAACCAUUGCAAUCAUCGUCGGACAAAGAAUAGGAGAAAGAGAUGCUCAAAAAAACCUUGUCGGAAAUCGCAUGAUAUCACCGGAAAACGCUAGAAGUCACGCAGUUUUGGUUACUUCUCUGGCUGAUUUUUUUGCUAGGGUUAAAAGAAAAAGUAAGCAGUUUAUAUCUUAUAAUUUUACGUUUACAACCUAUCUUUUUAGAAGAUAUUUCAAUUUCUACCCCAUUAAAUGUAUACUUUUAAUAAUUGGUGCUAUAUUUAUUUAUGCAACUCAAUAUGUAAAACAUGCGAUUCAAUAUAUCGUUUAAAACUUGAUAUCACACUAUAAGACUUGUAUGCAAUUGUUUAUUAUAUAAACAAAUCGUUUAAUAUAAACAAAUUACUAUCGUUGUAACAUAUAUUUAUAAUAGUGUUUUUAAAACAUUAAAUUUUAUAAUAUUGUUUUUUAAAACAUUAAAUUUUAUAAUAGUCUUUUAUAGUUGUUACAUAUAUUUAUUUAUUUUAACCAAAAUCUAUUUACAUUUUUAUCAAAAAAUUGUUUAAUAUAAUUUAUGUAAAUUUUAAAUAUUGUACAUAAAUUACAUAGUUUUUCAAUAGAUUACAUAAAAUUUAAAAAUUGUAUCUAUUUAAUUUUCGUUAAUAUAUUUUUUUAAAAUUUAAAAAUAUACAUUAUUUGAUGUUUUUUUUGUAUAUAGAGAUGUUUAAGUUAUUUGGAAUCAACAUAUUUGCUCGAGAUGAAGAUUCUUCUACCAAAAAGUCGGCAUUUUCCACCAAACAUGUCACAUACUUAUACUACUUUAUAACAUUUUAUAGUUUUCAUAUAAACUGAAACACGUAAAAUUCAAUUUUAGAUGUUCAAGUCUCGUGAGGAAUUGUUUGAGUGGACACAAAACAAAACACGCUCUCUAGGAUAUGUCGUUGUCAACAAAAGAUCAAAAGCAUAUGUCAACGGCUUCAUGUAUAAAGUCGUACUUAUGUGUGAUCGUGGGGUUGAAUAUAAAGCUACUAAUACGAUUAGAGCAUCUGGAACCAGAAAGAGUAAUUGUAAAUUUAAACUGGAAGGAAAGUAUUCAAAAGAAGAUAAUAAAUGGCCAUUGAGGUGAUAUGUGAUGAUCAUAAUCAUCCACCUGCACAACAUAUGGAGGGUCAUCCGUUCGUAAGACAAUUAUCUGUUGACGAUAUUCGGUUGGUGGAAGAUCUAACAAGAAAAAACUUGCCGCCACGUGAUAUUUUGUCAACCUUGAAGGGGAAAAACGAAAAUAAUGUAUCAGUAAUUCAAACGAUAUAUAACGCACCACAAAAGAUUCUCAAGUAGGAAAAACUCCAAUGUAGGUUCUUAUGUCCAUUUUGCACGCCAACAAUUAUUUAUAUGAGCUUGCUACAGGCGAUUCAAAUGAGUUGGAGAAUUUGUUUUUCGUUCAUCCAACGUCUUGGAAGAUAUGACAUGCAUUUCCACAUGUGUCGAUGAUAGAUGCCACUUACAAAACACACAAAUAUAAUAAGCCGCUUGUAGAAAUUGUUGGUGCGACCUCAAUUUGAAAGACAUUCUCUGUAGGUUUUGCAUUUAUACGUAUAGAAAAGGAGGCCAACUAUACUUAGGUGUUAAACUGUGUAAAGUCAAUACUUGGUAAGUGUAUGUACCCACUUGUAAUAAUCACAGACAGAGAGUUGACACUCAUCAAUGUAUGUGAAACACUGUUUCCGGAUGUGGCACGGUUACUUUGUAGAUAACAUAUUGAGCAGAACAUUUUAAAAAUCUCCAGCAAGAUUAUCACAUUGGAUGAAGACCGUAAAUCUUUUAGAAUACUAUGGAGAUUACUAGUUGAGUCUCCAACAUUGACGGCAUACACGGAAAACUACGAACGACUACAAAUCAAUGUUGAUAAAUUAUCCACGUAAGCUUGUUUAUUAACUAUAUUUCUAAAUCAUAACCUUCAUCUUACUGUUUAUGUACUAAUUUGUUAAUUUAUUUUACUUCACAGGUGUUAUGAGAUACAUAGAUGAUACAUGGUUAAACAAGUAAAAGGAAAUGUUUGUGUCUGUUUGGGUUGAUCAACAUCUUAAUUUUGGAAACAACACGACCAAUAGAGCCGAGAGUCAACAUUCCAAGUUAAAGAAAAUUUUAAACUCUUCAAAUUCUAAUCUUGAUAAAUUUGUUCAACGGAUUAAUAAAUUCAUGCAAUCACAACUUACUUCGAUUAACAAAAGCUUUGAAAAUAGCUUGAUUGUUCCCUAUAAUCACCACAACUUGUCGUGUUUCCAAUUGCUGCGAGGCCAUGUUUCAAACUAAACUUUAGAUAUAAUAUUAGGAGAGAUCCAAAGGUUGGGUGAUUUAAUGUUAGACUCCUCAAACUGUGGUUGCAAACUUCAUAACAGUUGUGGGUUCCCAUGUGCUUGCAUGCUUUCUUUCUACUCGAUUUCAGGUUAGUAUGUUCAAGUAGAACAUACAAAUAGAUUUUUAAAUAUUAGAUAAAUAAUUAUUUUAUAUUUCAAUGUAGGUGAAAAUAUACCCUUGGAUUCAACAUAUAUCUUUUGAAGGAAGUUUGAUAUUUCAGAUACGACGUCUGUAUGUGGUGGAUAAAUUUAAAGAAAACUUCAACAAACAAUCAAAAGCUAGGAAAAUGUUUUAUAGGAUAAAGCUAGAAGAGAUAUAUGACCUACGAUUCAAAAAACACAGGUGGAGGACCAAGUGUGAAGAAACAACAGAAAAAGAAAGCCGAUCCUCCAAAUCAUGCUCCUCGUAGAUGCAACUUAUCAACCACGUCAAGGUUUAAUGUGGUGAAUUUAAAUAAAGAACGUGAAAGACAUAGCUUUUCGUGUGGGAUUGACUUAAAUGAUGAACCCCAAAGGCAUAGAUUUUCGUGUGGGAUUGACAUAAAUGAUGAACCCCAAAAGCAUUAUCCAUUCCAAAUGAAUGGUAUUCGAGGUAUAUUUCAUGAUUACAUCGAUGAUAUACAUGAUGUAGAAGGUGAUGGAAAUUGUGGGUUUCGAGCAGUAGCUAUUUGUUUGGGGUAUAUUGAAGACCAAUGGCUUUGUAUUCGAAAACAAUUGAUUGAAGAGUUAGAGAGUCAAUAUUACGCAUACCAUACAGUUUUUACUGACGGGUUCAAUGAGGUAUACCGGUCAUUACAUUGGUUUGAGUCACAUGCACCUUUCCGACGACAUUGGUUGCAUAUGCCUUUGACUAGUUACUUGAUUGCCAACAAGUUUGGCAUGAUCGUUCAUUGUUUAAGCCACAAACAAUCUAUGCCAUGCUUCCCUCUUUGAAUGUUAGGUCAUAACUUAGUGGUUUAGCUAGGUUUCUUUAUGUAUAAGUCUUGGUAGGGUUUUGGUCUUGGUGUUUGGGUGUUUGCGGCCGUGUAGGUGUUCACGGCCGUGAACCUUGUUUAUGGUUGGUCUGUUCCUAUAUAUAGGAGUCUGUCAGAGUGUUGUCAGUGACGUUGCUGAGAGUUGUUCACGUUUAUGUGUGUGAUCAAGGUGUACCUGGCGUUUUUAUGCUAUAAAUGUGUGCAUUGCUUGAUCAAUCCUUUUCUCUACUACAUUCUUGUUUGUUUGAUUGAUUACUUGUUUGAUCAUCGGUUUGGAUCCGUGGAUUUGGGACUCUACAAAAUAUAUAUUUUAGUUUAAAUUUUUAGAUUUUAUUUUAUUUUUUAAGUCUUCAAAAUGUAUUUUUUUUAAAUAAAUUAUGGUAUUGGGCUUGGAUUUGAAGCUCAUUGGUUUGUAGCCCACUAGACUUGGACCGGGUAGGGUCCAUAUAUAUAAAUUGGAGUUGGCGGCCAUUCACCCUUUCACUCUCACUUUCAGUAUAUGCCCGUGAACACUUCACCGAUUCUCUCUCACUGUCGAUCUUUGAUUCAUCAUUUUUAGUGAAAUUGUUUGUUUCCUCACACAGGUAUGCUUAUGGCGAACCCUACAAAGAUAUUUUGCAUGCAAAUCGACUAUGAAUCGAGGGCUUAAUCAAAGAAAAACCAUUGUUCGGCGUUCAAGGCCCUUUGAAGGGUUUACGACUAUUGAAGGGUUCACGACCGUGAACCCGUUUACGGCCAUGAACCCCUUUCUAACCGUGAAUUCCAAUUUUUGGACAUGAACAUUAUUUUUCCAACACUCAAUCAUCAAUUAAAGCCUAAUUAAAUUGUUUAAUGAGUAAAACCUUAAUUUUAAUUGUUUGAAUCGAUGGUUUUCUCACUUGGCUUGGUUAAGUGCAGAUUAAAGAAAUGGCUUCUUUGAAGAUUGCUGAAAACCACGAUGUUGCUAUUUUUCUUUUGGAUCCACCAGGAGCUCACGACGACUUCAAGUCCAUGAUUCAUGGACUGAAGAACUGUUGCUUGGCGUACGUUCUUACUGCAAGUCCCAUCAUUUACCAAGAGUUGUUGAAACAAUUAUGGUACACUGCUACAAUACUCAAAGAAGAUGGUGAAGUUGUCUCAAUGGAUGCUACUAUUCACGGAAGCAAAAGUCUCAAUAACCGAGUAAGUCAUUCGUGAAGUUCUCCAGAUCGAUGACCAACCGGGUUUUCCAACUGAAAUUCCAAUAGACCAGACCGCAAAAAUCGUGGUUCGCAUGGGUUAUGAGGGUGUGUUUCCACCAACUAUCAAGAAGUUACUGCCACCCUACUGGAGGUUUUUGGUCCACGUAUUUUUAAGCUGUAUUUUGGGAAGAAGAGUCGGGGCUGACGAGGUCUCGUUGCACAACACAUGAGCAAUUGCUGCUUUGGCUGCCGGUUUGGACUUCAAUUUCUCGAGAUUCAUGCUGAAUGAUAUGGUAGGCAACAUUGAAGGUAAAGGCAGAGACAAAUUCCUCAUGUUUUCAAGGUUCGUUCAGAUGAUCUUUAACAAGAAAUACCCGGAACUUGAGAUGAGAGGAGAAACAAUCGAUCUGAAGUCCCUUGGUUCCAACACAAUUGGGCUUAUGAAACAGAACUGAAAGGGAAAAUUCAUGUUUGAGGGAAAGUACCCAUUGGUGAAGUUCGGAAAUUUUGUUGAAGUUAGUGAUGCAUCAGCGACUUAAAGCUCCUCAAAUCAUAUGGAAACCGAAGAUGAUGUUAUUACUACUUCAGAGCAUGAAGAAGAAAGAGUUCCUCCUGUUGCAAUCAUGGCAGAGGAACAUGAUCAGAUGACGAAUGUAGAGGUGUAAAGUGACCACAAUGAGGGUGAAGAUGCAGGUGAUGAUGAUGAUGAGGGAUUUGAUAAUGUUGAUGAGAUUUCUAGUGGUGACUUGUCAGGUUUCAUUAAAGACUUCAAUUUCGAGUUCGAGCAUAGCGAUUAAUGCCCAACAAAUGAAGACCUCGACUCAUUCUUCGACAAUAUCGACGAUGUUGCACAACAUGCAACAUAGAUAGGGGGAGUUGAAUACGUUCAAAAAGCUAUGCAUCCUACUUCAGAACAGAUGGUCGGUGCUACAAUUGAUAUGGAUGAGCAUCAAGGAUUCCUCUCCUUCAUGUUGUUAUUCCAAAUUCUAUGCCAUCUGCGAGUGAUCCUCUAAUGACUCAAACCUCCCAACCUCUGUUGAAAUGAAGAGGACAUGACCUGAGGCCGGGAGCGCUUAUUCAGGAACAGGCCACGCCAACAUAACUUGGAACCACAACAACUACUACUACUCCACUCGUACCGACCCAAGAAGAUCCAAGCACCAUGUUUGAAACCUAAAGCUCUUCAGUUCCUGGAGGUUCCUCCCUCCCAAGGCAUGCGCACAACAUCGCCUCUGGGAGGCUUGCAAGGGUCAUGGCUGAACAAGAAGCAACAGACCUUCCUCCUCGUGGAAAAGGCAUAUCAAUUGAGGAAGGCAACUUAGGUGGAAUGGACCCAUCUGUCCAAGAGUUAAAGGAAGAAAUGUAACGCCCUGAUUCUUAGGUAUUGUUUAAAUAAGAUUUAUUGGGUUAAGCUCUACUCGACGAGUUGGUUGACCUACUCGUCGAGUAGCAGCGGGGUGGGAUUGCGUGUUAAGUGACCUACUCGACGAGUAGGAGUUGGCAGAUGAAACCCUAAAUCCCGCGGUUUGCACCUCUAUUUAAAGGAGCCUCAGCCUCCUUUGGCCUCUUUGCAGUCUUUAAGAGCCCCUUAAAACCCUAAUACGCGCGUGUGUGUGCCCAUUGUGUGUUUGAAGCUUAAAAAAGGAUCUUUGGAGGGAGAAGGCUUGGAGGAGAAGGAGAUUUGAGCAAGUAGAGUUUGGGAAUCGAAUCUUAUCUUAGUUAUCAUCUUCUAGAGGUAACCACAUCGCCUUUUUCCUUGUGAAUAUCUUCUAUUGGUUGAGUUUUAGGGUUUUUGGUGAGAUAAUGAGUUGGAAAGAUGAGCUAUGGGCUAGAUCUGAGGUUGUAACUUUAGAUCUGGACCCUCCUUGGAUUCUAGAAUCAUAAAGUUACAGUUUUGGUCAUGAUUGAGGUCCCUCUUGAGCAUGAAGCUCCAUUAAGAACUUAAAAUAGGCAUUUAGAGCCUUUAUAUCCAUGCAUGCACGUAAAGUUUGCAACUUUACGUGAUAAGCAUGCCCUCGAAGCUCGGAUCUGUGAUUUGGAGCCGCUGCAUGGCUCAAAGCAAGUCUGUCUGGAAAAAGGACUGAAUGGACUCGGCGAGUCACAUGAAGAUGGCCGUGAACUCGACAAGUUGGAUGAACAACUCGGUGAGUCCGAUGAAGAUUACCAUAAGACUUGACGAGUUGAAGAACAACUCGACGAGUCAGAUGAGUUUUCCCUAGGAUAUGUAUGCGUGUAAAUCCGUCGAGUUGCAAGGAGGGAACUCGACGGGUGGCCUUAAAGUUCGAACGAGAAUCGAAGGAACUCGACGAGCCACCCCGAUGACUCGGCGAGUUGGAAUGUACUUCAAUGAACUCGGCGGGUAGCCGAGGGUACUCGACGAGUUGGGGUCAACAUGGACUGUUGACUUUGACGAGGACUUUGACUUUGACCAGGGGGUUGACUGGCGGGUUAUGGAGUACCUUAUAAGGUUAAGGACUUAUGAGUAUAUUGUACUAUGAUCGUAGGUGGUGGAGCCUGUGUCAAGUGAUCCGAAAGUUGGAGUUUAUCUUCCGAGUCGACAUCUGCAAGGUCAGUUAUCCUCACUAUAUCGAUAGGGUCUACAGCACCAAGGAUGACCCUUUAGUUGUUAUUGUUAUGGUAUGCUAUAUGUGGUCAUGAUCUGUUAGAUCAGAAUUAGGGUAGACAAUAAGUUAUGCUCUUAUGAUCCGGAAGGAUUGGUAUGUUAGUGACCUAGUAGGUCGGUACACUAGUUAUGAGAGAAUUCUUUGAUUGACGAUCAACGUGAUAGAUAUGUUUGAUGUUUGUAUAUGCCAGUAUAUGAUAGUUAUGCGCACAUGGUUAUUUGCUUGUUGGUUGGGUUGAGGCGGUCCUGCUUUGUGCUGAAGGCCAACAUACCCUAUGAGCGGUCUGGGAAGACUGCAGGCCCACGAGGCGGACCAGUCAUGCCAAAGGCUCGGGAUAGAUUCGGAUAGACUGUAGGCCCAGUAGGGCGGUCCAGUCAGGCCGAUGGCCAAUAUGCAUGUUGAUUGAUUGAUUGUUACUGAUAUGGCAUUGUCAGUGUGGUAGUGGUAUUUUGGGGGUAGCUCACUAAGCUAUCGGGCUUACAGUUUCAGUUUAUUGUUUCAGGUACUUCAGAAGAUCAUGGCAAGGCGAAGGCGUGACCGUACCGCUCCUCAUCCUUAUGUUAUGAUUUUGGGACACUCUGAUGGAUAUUGAUUUGAAAACAUUUUUGUAAACAAUGCUAUUUGAUUUUUAUUUAUGAUCGAAAAGUUUAAAUUUGGUGUAAAAUUUAUGGAUGUUACAAGAAAUGGGUGUGCUGAAUCAUAGAAUCAUUGAGAGAUAUGUUUUGAUUGAAAACCUCAAAAUCCAAGUCUUGGAUCUUAAAGCAGACAAUUCUCUGAAGACAACACAAAUCUCUGAUUUACAAACUCACCUUGGAGCCUGGACUGCUUGUUACUUCGACCUCAAGAAUAAGCUGGCUAUGGAAUUUGGUGACAAAUUCAAGUCAUCUGUAGGAUAACCAGGCAGAGCUGAGACCUCUACCAUUAACCUUGCCCAAGCUUCACGACAAGAACCCCUGGUUGAUCCUCCCACUAUAAGAACAACUCGAAUAGUCGAUCAAUUUGAACAUGAGCCAGCUCAAGCUCCUCACAUAGUUGCUUUGAAGCGAGCUCAACAAGCAUCCUUUUCUAAGAAACAAAAGUGGAUGUUCAAAAAGAGCUCAGAUCAGAACGCUCGCAGAGGUCAACCCCAACUCACUGUAACAUAACUCAAGAAUAAACGAUUUGGUUCCAAAUACGGUGAUAGGUCAGGGAUAGUGUCAUGGGGUUUUCAUGACAAGUUGAAUCCGUGGCUUGUGAGGCGUAAAAGUUCGAAUGUGGAGUAUUACAAGGACAAACAUGACUUUUGUUCAUGGACGAGAGUUGAUAUGUCUGAACUUGCUAAUGCUCCCUUUGCUAAUCCAUCCAAUAAUCCACAAACAACAGAUUUCAAGCUUUUUCUGGAAGAUCAAGUGAAACAAGGUUUUACUGAUAUGAAGACUGAUGAAUCUUUCAUCAGGAGCUUCCCUGAUGUACUGGAUCCAAAGACCAAUGAGUCUUUCAAGACGGUGAUGUGGCCUCCCACUAACCAAAUGAGAUAGAUUCCUAUUGUGCAGAACUUCAACGAUGGUUCACUAAAAAGUAUGCUUUACUGGGUCUAUGAUGAAACCACAGAUUCUGCUGUCAUCAGAUUUCCUGAAGGUGUAUUUCGGAUAUAUGACAAGAAGGAUCUGCUUCAGUUUGGAAAAUGGGAUAUACACUAUCUGGCUCAACAUAAAAUCCAGGUUGCUGAAGAUAUUUUUGAAGCUGCUGCUAAGGAGUAUACUUCGAUGACUGCUGAGAUUAUCGAGAAUGAGAUGUGGCUUCGUUCAAUGGGGAGGUCUGAUGUGCUCAUAAUCGAGAAAGACUGAAUCAAGGUUAGCCCCAAACCAAGGGGGAGAUUGUUAGGUCAUAACUUAGUGGUUUGGGCUAGGUUUCUUUAUGUAUAAGUCUUGGUAGGCUUUUGGUCUUAUUGUUUGGGUGUUUGCGGCCGUGUAGGUGUUCACGGCCGUGAACCUUGUUUGCGGUUGGUCUGUUCCUAUAUAUAGGAGUUUGUCAGAGUGUUGUCAGUGACGUUGCAGAGAGUUGUUCAUGGUCCUAUGUGUGUGCUCAAGGUGUACCUAACGUUUUUAUGCUAUAAACGUGUGCAUUACUUGAUUAAUCAUUUUCUCUACUUCAUUCUUGGUUGUUUGAUUGAUUACUUGUUUGAUCACUGGUUCAGAUCUGUGGAUUUGAGACUCUACAAGAGAGGUCCCGAAGAGUUCCAAACCCACCGAGCCAUUACGUUGGCACUUGUAAACGGUAUUCCUUAUAUGUCGAUGUUUUUGAAACGAAAUUACCCAAUGCGCUUACCACAACAUAUUGGAAUGCCCAUAAAAGUUUGUCUGCAUCUACAUGACAAACUAUGUAUUGACUGUGUUUUGAAUUAUACAAUCAACUUAGGUCUUGUACUUUUGAAACACCUUGGAUACAUAUUAAAGAUUAAGUGCGAAUGUAUUUGAACUUUUUUAUUAUUUUUUUUGUCAAAAUAUUAUUUUAUAUUUGAACUUUUUUUAUUAUUUGUUGCGUUAAAGUAUUAUUUUAUUAUUGUUGAGUCGUAUUUUAACUUCCUUUUUUUUAAAAAAAAAAUUGAUUAAAAAUAUCUACAUAUCUUUUAUAAAAAUAGUAUUAUAAAUCAUCUAUAUAAAGAUUAAGUGUCAUGAUAAUCUAAUUAUUAAAAAAACAAUUAUUAUGGGUAAAAAGCAAAGAAUAUAUUUUGUAAGCUUAAUAAAAAUGGAAGGACUAGAAGUGAGAUAAAAAUAAUAUCUUAAUAAAAUAUAGGAGUAAUAAUGUUAUGUAGAUAUUUUCUUUAUUCUCUUUCACGUUUUUUAUUAACUAAUUAUAUAUUAAAAAACUAUUAAUAAUAAAUAUGUAAUCAUAAUUUAAUUAUUAAAAUAAUUAAAAAUAGUAAUCAUUAGUGAAGAAAAGUAAAAUGAUUAGUAAACACAAUGAUUGGAAAAAUAAUUAGAGGGUAGAAAUAAAUAAAGAUGAGAUAGGAAUAAAUGAAGCCUAAUGAUAUUGAGUUUAGAAGAUUAAUGUGAUAAAAAAGUAAGCAAUAAAGCAAAUAUCUAGAAUGAUGAAGUAUAGAUGGGAGUUGAAGAAUUACAUAAUAUUAACAAGUUUGUUCGACCAUUGCAUGUUUGACUUUCUAUGGACCAACUUGAAAUUUCAUGAUUAUUUAUCAUAUAAGUGUUGCAUUGCUAAAUUAAUUACUUGCCAAGAUUUAUGCCUAGUAGUGUUUAAUACACAUCAAAUUUUAGGUUCAACUUCAUACGAAAAAUAUAAUGAGGUUACUUACAAAGUUUAGUUUUUGACAUGAUGAAUAAAAGUCAAUAGGCACUAAUUCUUAAUAUGUCUAGGUAGCUAGUAUCUAUAGAAUGCUAUGGGACCAUGUAGAUGUAGAAUAACUCUUUUGAAACUUUGAACUUCAUGUAUAAGUCCCAACACUACUUUUACAAGUUUUGGAAGAAUAAUAAUGGUGUUAGGAAUAGAACCUUGUAACGAAAUAUUGUAAAUAGUCUUUUGUGAUUGUACCCUAGUAUUUUUUUUUGGAUUAAAGACAAGAUAAGGUCAAAUACUAAAGAAAAUUCAUUCUAUCCUAGAGUAUAUAAAUUAAGGGGACGCUAGAAUUUAAUCCUAAUGUCACACCACCUUUUUUCCUACUUUUUAAUCGGUAUUAAGGUCGAAGUUUAAGCACUAAACUUAGCACCUAUUUCACUUAAAAAAAAUACUUUGAUACCAUCUCAAACACCCUUGUUUGGUUUAAGAAUAAUUAAGUUAUCUUUUGAAAAAACAUUUAACCAUUUAAAAGAGUUAAGUUUUAUGGUUUAAGUUUGAAACUUUAAUAUAUGAGGGUGUAUAGCCUGUGUCAUUGUUUUGGUGGGAGCUGAGACUCCUACCUACCUCUUACGAAGUUCUCCUACAACAACAGUUUUCACUCCUACAUUGGUGCUCUGCCUUUUCAGCUCUUGUAUGAGCGGAGAUGUCGUACCUUGGUCUGUUGGGGGUGAGGUUGGUCAUAAGGUUGUGGGGGUGGACCGAGGUGGUCCUUCAGACUACGGAGAUGAUUCAACAGACCAGAAAGAGAUUGUAGACUGCUCAGAGUCGGCAGAAGACCUAUACCGACCGACGCCGAUCUGAGUUGGAGUUUCAGGUCGACGACAUGGUGCUACUUACGGUAUCACCUUGGAAAGGUGUGAUUCGCUUCAGGAAGAGGGGGAAAUUGGGUUCGUGAUAUAUUGGGCCAUUCUGAAUUAUUGCCAGGGUUGGCAAGGUGGCGUACAGAUUGGAUCUUCCUGAUUAGCUCAUUCAGAUUCACAACACUUUCCAUGUUUCUUAGCUGCGGAAGUACAUAUUGGAUGAAAAUGCAGUGGUGUCCUUGGAUGAUAUUCAGGUUAAUGAGCACCUGAAUUAUGACGAGAGGCUUGUAGCUAUUCUGGAGAGGAAGGUAAAGGUUUUGCGUAGCAAGGAAGUAACGUUGGUAAAGGUACGAUGGCAGCAUCGGAGGAGCUCCGAGUAGACUUGGGAGCUGGAGGCUAAGAUGCAAGAGCAUUACCCAGACUUGUUCUCUGUAGAAGACUUCGAGGACAAAGUCUAGUUCCAGUGGGGGAGAUUUGUAAUACCAUGGUUUUCAAGUAUUUUCAAAUUCAUCCCUUGGUUUAUAUUAUAAGUCAUUUUGAUCCCUAAAGUCCAAGAAUUAUGACUUGAAGCCCUAGUGGCAUUUUGGUAAAAUGAGCAGGAAGAGUAGGCUAAACAUACAAGUGUCUACGCUGAGCAUACCAGAGCGCACCCUAGUAAGCUGGGCGUACUCACGUCAGAGGGAAACCCUAAAUUUUGGGGUUUGGAAAGUAUUUAAGCAUCAUAUUGGCUCAUUUCCUUUCCACCUUUCAGCCUCCACUCCCAUGGGACGUUUUUGCAAACCCUAAUCUUUGAGUGUGCCUUUUUGAAAGAAAACAACCCAGAAAAUUCAAUAUUUUCUGAAAAGACCAUUGUUUAUAUAAAAGUGUGAAGAUCCGUAAAUAUAUGCAUGAUGAUUUCCAGACGUGUAUAGUUGAAAAGCUUCGUAUUAAAAGUACCGAUGAAAAAUGUUGAAUUUCCCCGGAAAACUCAAUGUUUUCCGACAAUAAUAAAAAACUAUCAUAUAACUGUUCAAAUUGUUAUUCCAUCACUUGAAUGAUUUUUGAUUUGCCUUGAUUACUUGAUUAUUAUUGGAUUUAUUUAUGUGAGUCGUUAUAACCAUGCAUGAUAAUAACUAAUUCUUCUGUCAUGGCACUCCGGUGAACGCCGGAAUUGAUCUUAAGAUUUUGUCAUCCUAGACUGGCCGAGUCUAACUGUAGCGAACAACUGAGGUGUGGGGGAUUCACCUAGAUCUAUACACAAACUCUCGCUCUCCCUCCAAGAGACUUUGAUUAUAACUACAGACUACGACCGACACACGUUGGUGCCACCCGUUAUUACUCACUAAAUCCCAAUUGACUUUGAUUACUAUUGAUUAUCGACCCGUAUUUGUUUACUUGGAUUGACGAUAGGCCUAAUAAACAAGGAGAAGAGGAUUACAAUAUCCUAGUAUUCCCGCGUAUUAUUUAUGGCUAUUGGUUAUACGAAGAGCACGAUGGCCGGUUUCGCAUUUAAUUCAUUUGGACCUUACUAGCAUUGCUAAUGGGCCACUACGACCCAAUAAAUUUUUUAAAGCCAUUGAGGGUCUCUUAAAUAUGAAAUUGGGUCAUAGAAGGCCCAAUAACAUUUAUGAUUAUCCCUUGGGCCCAAAAAUCAUGUUAAUGGGUCGCAAAGGCCCAACAAGCAUGAUUGGAACUUUCAAGCCCAAAGAUUUGAAUAUUUACUUGUUUUAGGUAUAAUUUGAUUGUUGGAAAUUUUGAUUGGAUGAUUUGUUAAAUUUCGCACCGGAAUAAGGCCGAUCGGUUAUUUUUUUUAACGAUGUUGGAAUUAUACGUAUUUUCAUCUUUCCAUUUGCAUGAAUUGUAGUUUGGUAUUUUUAUUUUAACUCAAAUAUCUUAAAAUAAAAUAAUUGACUCAAAAAUAUUGGUUUGAACCCCCUUUCAGCCCUUCUUUGGUAAAAUUGACAAUUUUAGUCCUUUUAUAUAUAAAAAGACAUUUUAAGCCCUUAAAACAUUUUCUUGACACUGUUGAUCCAAAGACUUGUUCAGGUGAUAUUUUUAGCUCAAAACUCAUUCUUUGGCAGUUUUAGCCCUUCCAGAAAAGUAUUUUCCGGUUAAAGCCCAAACCUUUUGCAACUUUUACAAUUUUGACCCAAAAUCCAAAAAGUUUACAAUUUUGAUCCUUGUUUGGAAAUUACAUCAUUUAACCCCUGAAUUUAUUUUAUUCACCCUUUUACCCCCUGUUUUGAGAAUUUUACCAUUUCAACCCCUUGAAAGUUGUAAUUUUCGCAAGUUUUGGCUUAAUGGGCCGAAAAGCCCAAGAUUUAGCCCAAUAAGCCUUAAAUUUUAUUUCUAACCUUCAAUAGAGUAUGAUAUUCAUAAAAACACUUAUUUUUACUGUUUUGACCCUUUUUGUCCUUAAGAAAACCGUAACUAACAAUUUUUCCACUCAACUUUGGUUUGUUUGACAAUUAUAGCCCAAAAAUGAGUUUUAUGUUGCCAUAUGUUUGUUUUAAUCUUAGAGGGUAAUUUUUCUUAACUUGUUUAGAGUAAUAUGUCUUAGAUCAUGUUUAUCUUCCUAUUAGAUCCAUAGAUCUCUAGAUUUCCAUUCUUUUUGUUACAUAUUUAUCACAUAAACACAUGAAAUCACACAUAACAUACACAUAGAUCUACACAUUUUACUUGUAUUCUCCCCCAUAAAGCAUAUGAAAACCGAAAAUAGAGGGGUGUGAACUCACCUUGAGUUUGUGGGUUUGUGUUUGAAGAAGAAAUGAAAGAAGAUUCUGGUCCUAUCAACUCCCUUGAUUAAAUCUUGAAUUUAAGAAGAUUCUAGGAGUAGAUCAUGAAAAACUUACUUAGAAUGAGUGAUACAACAUGGAAAUGAAGUUAUACAACUUAAUUAUGAUAAGACUUACCAAGAAUUGAUGAUUUUUGAUGAUGAAACUCUUCUUGAAGAUGUGCAAAUUCUCGAAAUUUAGAGAGGAAAUGUAGAGUGUUCUUGUGAGUGUUUGAGAGAAUUUGGAAGAGUGUGUGUGUUUGUGAGGUCUUGGCCGCGAGGAAGAAAAGAGAAAGGGAAAGAGAGAGGUGAGGUAACUUGCUUGGUUGCAUGGUGGUUUAAAGCCUUGAUGCAUGUUAGAUCUUAUGGAGGUGGCACUCCAAAGUCAACUCUUCUCCUUAUUUCACUUAUUUUCUCUUUUUUUUGUUUUCUUCUUGGGUCGAGAAAAGGGAAGAAAGAAAAAGAAUUUUGGGCCUUUGGUGCUUAAUUCCAUCUUAUGGGCCCAUUUUUGAUGAUUUUUGUCCCAUUGGGCUCCUAUGAUGGAUUACGGCCCAAUUUGUCAAAAAUAAUGGGUUUUAAAGCUAAUUAGGUUAGUUAUGACCCAAUAAGGUCCAUUAGGAUAUUUUAUUUCAUUCUAGGCCCAUUAUUGGCCAAAAUGUUAAAAUAAAUGAAAGUGGGUCCAAUUAGGGCCCAUUUAAGAGUCCUAAGCCCAAAAUAGUCAAAUUGGGAGCUUAUUGGCCCAUUAGGCCCAAUAAGGAAAUCCUAGUCCAAAAUGGACUUAAACCAGGAUUUCUAGGGUUUCCAAUUCUUUGUUGACUAUUUUCAAUGCGUGUAUAGAGUGUUUGAUGAAAAACUUGUUGUUAUUGAAUAACCAUCAUACAUGCUUUCACAUUUUUGGUUCACAAUUGUUAUAGAAUUCCUAGUUGUGAUAAUCGUGUUUCCAAGUUUCAUUAAUGGAGGGAAAGUGAGGGGACAAAAAGGAUUUUGGAGCCAUAUUUUCCUUCCAAAUUCCCCCCCCCCCCAAUUGGGCGGAUUUGGGAAGAAAGUUAGGGGAAGGAAAAUUUUAAGUUUUAUUUUCUUUUUUCUCCUAAACCGGGAACACAAAAACAUAAAAAAAUUCCUUUCAUUUCUUUUCAUUGCCUUCGAACUCUGGAACACAAAAUAAUGGAUAUUUUCCUUCCCUUCCCUCUCUUUCUGUCAAAAUUUUCCUUCCCUUUCCUUUUUUGAAUUACAAAAAAAAAACUCGGGAACAAGGCGUAAGUGAGGUAUGUUAGUCAAGGAUUGUAAUCCAAUUAUUAAUUGAAUGUUUAUUAUGUUGUGUUAGUGUGGGGAUUUUAGUGAGCUAGCAGCCAAAGACUUUUAGUGUGAUUUAGCAAUGUGUGGCCCUUGGAUUGAUAUCUUGUUAUGCAUGUUUAUAUAUACAGUUGUGAUCUGUUAGAUCGGUAUCCUGUUAGAUAGGAUAAUGGUAUGCGUAGUGAUAUGUAAGAUCUGUUUAUUGUUUGCUGGCUGGUUAAUAGUAUGCUUACCUGUAUUAUGUGUACAUGUUUGGUGAGUGGCUGAGGCUUCACUGCUUUAUACGUAAGCCAAUGGUCGGGGCAUUCCAACCCGAUGGUUGAGGGCAUAGGGUAUUCCAUCCCAAGGAUGAUUGGACUCAUAGUAUGUUGACAUUCCAACCCGAUGGUUGAUGGGCCUGGGAUAUUCCAACCCGGUGGUUGAUUGGACCCAUAAUAUGUUGGCAUUCCAACCCGAUGGUUGAGGGGCCUGGGGUAUUCCAACCUGAUGGUUGAUUGGACCCAUAGUACGUUGUUAUUGUAUAUGUGUUAUUUGUUGUGUUGGUACUUUGGGGGAACUCACUAAGCUUUGGGCUUACAGUUUUGGGUUAUGUUUCAGGUACCUCAGACGAUCGUGAGAAGACAAAGGCUUGAUCGUGCACUUCCUCAUGUUGUGUUUUGUGAUUUUGGGAAAAAAUCUGAUGCUUAAACUGUUUUGAAAAUACAAUGUAAACAAUUAUGAUUUUUUUGGUUGUUUGAAAAAGUUUAAAUUUUUAUGAAUUUAUGAGGAUGUUACACUCAAACCUGCCUCGAAGAUCGGAAUGGGGACUCCGACAUUACCUUCUGGUGGAUGGGAGAUGAUCGCCCCCUUCUUGGGAUAUUGCCCCCCUCUCCCCCCUGUUCAGGAAAGAAGCCGAAUCUGGCUUGCAAGGCCUUGAACUCAUUUGGAGUCGGCUCGAUUCCAGUUAGUUGUGUGACCAUUGUUCUCUGAGAGCAAGAGAAAAAAGGAAGAAAGGGUAAAUGAAGAAAAGAUUGAAGCAUUUGCAGAGCGAGAAGUGUAAAGAGAAAAACCGUCCCUGAUAAGGGAAGUUUUAAAUGCAAAGUGAGAGAAUCGAACAAUUACCAUGAUGAAACCGUCCCUGAUAACCCUAAACAUGAAUUUGGGGAUGAAGGAAAAAAGAAACCAUAUUAUGGGGAUAAUUUCUAACCUUAUAGUUUGGUUGAAACUUCUUUUUUGUUUAUGUUUUUAGUUUUCUCUCUAACAAGAAAUUUGAAGGCUUUUGCUCGAACAAGAAAUUCGAAAAAUUAAAAGUAGAAUUUUUAUGUACAGAGCAGUGGUCUUGAUUGGAUAAUUACCACAAAUUUUUGAUUUUGGGUGUAUCUGACAACAAUUCUGCCGGAAUGGAAGAUCAAGUUCUAAUUUUGUCAGAAUGGAAUCCGAUUUUAUGGCAUCGAAUAUCAACUUACUCAGUUAGUAUUUGAAGGUAUACACUCAUUUACUACAAAUUUAGUCACAUUCAUGUAUUUAUUAAUUACAUAUAUUGUAUGUUUCAUCAAAUGGAGUAUAAAGAUCUGAGCAUUCGAUUUUGUCCGCCAAUUGUUUGCUAAAAUGCUUAAAUCAAAUAUUUCAGCAAAUUUUUUUUGUAAUCUUUGAACUAUCAUAUCUCUUUCAUACUAGCUUGGAAUGAUUUGAUUUUUUUUUUUGCAUUUUCUCAUUUGUGAUAGCUACAAGUUAGGUUCUGAAGUCAUUUUAAUUGGAUUAAUAUUGGCUGAGUAACAAUCCUUCGAACAUUGGAUGUUACAACUAUAUUUUUAGCACUUUUACUUUGUUCAAAAAAAAAUUUGUGAUCUUUGAACUGUCAUAUUUCCAACAUUCUUGCUUGUAAUAAUAUGACAUUUUUUCCAACGUAUUGUCCUCUGUGUUAGCUACAAUGUAGGCUCUAGAAUCAUUGUAAUUAUAUUAAGUUGAUUAUUUGGGUCAAGUGACUCGGGGAAUACUUGAUCAUGUCACUCGAGUAUUACAUUCUUUUAGAAUUAAUUAAAAGUCUUUAAUGCCGCCGCACAGGGCCCCGAGAAAAAAAUAGAACCCGAGAUUUAGACAUAUUAUAUACUUACUAUUUGUAUAAAUAAUAAAUCUUUCAAAUAAGAACAUAAGUUUCAUGUUGCUCAACAGGUAAGGGCGGUUCUGAUUAUUUAACUUAAAGCGAAAACUCUCC